AUCACUUGUAUCAAAUUUCCAACCCAAAGUUGCGCAGUGCAUAUUGCAAGAGUUGAAGUUAUUCAUCUUUGGAUUUGGUAAGUAUAUUUCUCUUCUUUUUGAAACAAUAUUCAUCAAUCAUGAUAAGCUUUAAAAGAAAUAAACAAAUUGUUUGGAUAUACUUAUGGUUGUGGUGGAACACUACUGCUAAUAUUUGUGUUAAAGCAACAAGUGAUAGUUUGAAGCCAGGUGAUACAUUAAAUUCCAAAUCCAAGCUAUGUUCUGAACAAGGAAAGUUUUGUCUAUAUUUCGAUAGCGAAGAAGCUCACUUGGUUGUAAGUAGUGGUGUUGACGGCGCAGUAGUGUGGAUGUACGAUAGAAAUCAACCCAUAGCCAUAGAUUCAGCAGUUCUAUCACUAGACUACUCUGGUGUACUCAAAAUAGAAUUUCAAAAUAGGAAUGUACCAAUUAUCAUUUAUUAUUCGCCUCAACCAACCAACGACACUGUGGCCACUAUGUUAGACACCGGUAACUUCGUGCUUCAACAGCUUCACCCAAAUGGGACAAAGAGUAUAUUAUGGCAGAGUUUUGAUUCUCCCGUAGACACUUUGUUACCAACGAUGAAGUUAGGUGUUAAUCGUAAAACAGGACAUAAUUGGUCAUUGGUUUCACGGUUGGCUCAUUCGCUACCAACUCCAGGUGAACUUAGUCUUGAAUGGGAACCAAAAGAAGGUGAAUUGAACAUCAGGAAAAGUGGCAAAGUGCAUUGGAAAAGUGGAAAACUCAAAAGCAAUGGAAUGUUCGAGAACAUUCCUGCGAAAGUUCAACGUAUAUACCAGUACAUUAUUGUGUCUAACAAGGAUGAAGAUUCUUUUGCUUUUGAAGUUAAAGAUGGGAAAUUUAUACGAUGGUUCAUAUCCCCGAAGGGGAGGUUAAUAAGUGAUGCUGGAAGCACUUCUAAUGCAGACAUGUGUUAUGGAUAUAAAAGUGAUGAAGGGUGCCAAGUUGCAAAUGCAGACAUGUGUUAUGGAUAUAAUAGCGAUGGAGGGUGCCAAAAAUGGGAGGAAAUACCAAAUUGUAGGGAACCUGGUGAGGUUUUUCGGAAAAUGGUGGGAAGACCAAAUAAAGACAAUGCAACAACAGAUGAACCUGCUAAUGGUUACGAUGAUUGCAAGAUGAGAUGUUGGAGAAAUUGUAAUUGCUAUGGAUUCGAAGAAUUAUACAGUAAUUUUACUGGAUGUAUAUACUAUUCAUGGAAUUCGACACAAGACGUUGAUUUGGACAAAAAGAAUAACUUUUACGCCUUGGUAAAGCCAACAAAAUCACCUCCGAAUUCCCAUGGUAUAUAACAUUUAGUAUCAUUUUAAUUAGAUAGAUUUUUUUUAGUAUGAUUCUAGAAAUAUUUCCUUCUAUUAUAGCCGGUGUCGGUCUAAGGACAACUGAAGUGCAAAUAAAAUUGAUUGAAAUCAAACAUCUUAUACGCCACCACUUAGUUUUUUUAUUUUAUUUGUGUAUAGUCAAUGCAGGUAAGAGGAGGAUAUGGAUAGGUGCUGCAAUCGCAACUGCUUUACUCAUAUUAUGCCCACUCAUUUUAUUCCUAGCCAAAAAGAAACAAAAAUAUGCACUACAAGGUAUAUGGUUACUUUAAAAUAGUUAAUCCAGGUAAAAAAAAAGAUGGAUAUGUAUAGGUUCUAUUUUUAUCUUUGAUUUUUUUUGGUUAUGUAGGUAAGAAAAGUAAAAGAAAGGAGGGUAAGAUGAAAGAUUUGGCGGAAUCCUAUGAUAUCAAAGAUCUUGAAAAUGACUUCAAAGGACAUGAUAUAAAAGUUUUUAACUUUACAUCAAUUUUGGAAGCAACUAUGGAUUUUUCAUCUGAAAACAAGUUAGGACAGGGAGGCUAUGGACCCGUUUAUAAGGUGACUUGAAAACAAAUGUUUAUAAUGUGGUAAUAUUUUUUUCAUGGUUGGCGAAUUUUGUUUCGGACAAAACAUCUAUGCAUUGGUUUUAGGUAUAUUUAGUAUAUGGUUAUCAACUUAAGUAUCCAUUAUUUCUUCAAAUACAUAAUUUUCUCAGAGAUCCAUUAAAAAGCAUCUAAGAAAAUACAUCUAAAUUAUGACUUCAGGGAAUCUUGGCAACAGGACAAGAAGUUGCUGUAAAAAGACUUUCAAAAACAUCUGGACAAGGAAUUGUGGAAUUCAGAAAUGAAUUGGCAUUGAUAUGUGAACUUCAACACACAAAUCUUGUACAACUACUUGGUUGUUGCAUUCAUGAAGAAGAAAGGAUUCUAAUUUACGAAUAUAUGCCAAAUAAAAGCUUGGAUUUCUAUCUAUUUGGUGAGAAUAUGUUGAAGGCUAUAUUUGUAUGUGAUCUUUUUUUUUUUUUUUUUUUUUUAUUAUGAAGAAAUCAUAAAAUUGUGUCUAUUAUUAUGUUAUAAAUAGAGCACAAUUAUAAAUAAAGUUAUGGGAUCUUUAUUUUGGAUAGUUCACUAAAAUAACAUGUUAUUCUAACUUAAUAACCAAUAUCAUGUUUUAUGUGACUCAUUAGUUAGUCAUAGAAAUCUAAAAUGGCAUUUUAGUUUUCUACUUUUGAUUAGUAUACAUUUUAACAUUAAGUAUCAUGUUUUCAUUGACAAGAUUGUACAAGAAAAAAGUUACUAGACUGGAAGAAGCGCCUGAACAUAAUCGAAGGAAUUUCUCAAGGAUUACUCUAUCUUCAUAAGUACUCUAGACUCAAAAUCAUUCAUAGAGACUUGAAGGCUAGCAACAUACUCCUUGAUGAGAAUUUGAACCCGAAAAUUUCAGAUUUCGGUAUGGCAAGAAUGUUCACGCAACAAGAAUCAAUAGUUAACACCAACAGGAUUGUUGGGACAUAGUAGGUUUUCUAAGCUUUCCCUGUUUCUACCUUUUUAUCGAUGAUUACGUAAAAGAGUUGGGAUUAUUAACAAGAUUUUGGUGCAGUGGAUACAUGUCUCCAGAAUAUGCCAUGGAAGGAAUUUGUUCAACAAAGUCUGAUGUUUAUAGCUUUGGAGUGUUGCUUCUUGAAAUUAUUUGUGGAAGAAAAAACAAUAGCUUCCAUGAUGUUGAUCGCCCACUAAACCUAAUAGGACAUGUAUGUAAAUUUACUCACAUUGACUUUUAUUUUUAAAAUAUAUCAUUCCUUGUUCCUAAUUUGAUUAAACUCCUAACAGGCAUGGGAGCUAUGGAAUGAUGGUGAGUAUCUACAGUUACUGGAUCCAUCUUUAUGUGACACAUUUGUUCCUGAUGAAGUGCAAAGGUGCAUUCAUGUUGGUCUCUUAUGUGUACAACAAUAUGCUAAUGAUCGACCUACAAUGUCCGAUGUUAUAUCAAUGUUAACAAACAAAUAUAAACUCACAACUUUACCAAGAAGACCGGCAUUCUAUAUUAGAAGAGAGAUCUAUGACGGGGAAACAACUUCUAAAGGGCCAGACACCGACACCUAUUCUACGACAGCAAUUUCUACCUCAUGUGAAGUAGAAGGAAAAUAUAAGUAAUCAAUAUAUAUUGGUCAAAAACUGCAAGCUAGAAUGUAAGUAAAAAAAGGCUUGAUUAUGGUAUUGGUUUAUGUAAUAUUCUCAUUUUCUGUGCUUGUAAAAUGUAAUAUACUCAUUUUCUGUACUUGUAAAAAUAUUAUCAAAAUGGUCUACUUUCUAUUGAAAAACUAGUUAGUUGAUACUUGUGAAUCUAACUGUGCAACACAAGAGCAUGAAUGAAUUGUCUCUUACUGAUAAUCAUUGCCAUUGUCUCUUACUUUUUCUUUGACACUAUUUCGUGUGCAUUGCUUGCCGGAUCGAUCUGGAUGUUCCUCUUUUCCGGAUUGGAUUAUGCGUUUCUUUUUCAAAUUUUGAAGGAAAAUAGGUAAUGGAAGUAGGAGACAAGUACAGAAACCACAACCAUAUGUAGAUAUGAAAAAUGCAAACAAAUUAACUUGUGAUGUUAAGGAAAUAAGAAAAAGUUAAAUAUUCAAUUGCCUUUGUUUAUUCAUUUUCGGCACAAUAGGAUUCAAUGCGACACCAAACUUGCUACCUCUAUGCCAUGAAAAACGAAAACACACACCAAAGAUAACACUAACAAUUCAAUACGACAAUAAUGUGAGAAAAUAUAAUGAUUAUAUGGAAUUGAGAAAAGAAACAUUGUAUGGGAAUAGAUGGAAUUCACAAAUACAGAAGCUGCAAAGAUGUGAAUAGAUGGAAUUGCGAAAAAAAUUAAAUAUAUGGAAUCGAGUGUGCUUAUUGAAUUUUCAACGCUGCACUUUGCCGCAAUCGCUACUGUGGUAGACAUUUUUUUUUUGAAUUUAUUCCUUCUUCUGCUUUCUGAUUUCGCGAUUCUUCGAUAUGAUCUGAAUAAUGUGAAAAAUAGUUCUACGCUUGGAAUGUUACAAAUUUUGCAAUUGUCUAAGUUUAGCAAUAUUUCUUCAACAUAAUUCUGCAUAGGUCCAAGAGAAAGAGAAUUGAACAUUAAGAAACAAGGCAAAGUGCAUUGGAAAAGUGGAAAACUUGGAAGCAAUGGAUUAUUCGAGAACAUUCUAGAGAAUGUCCAACAUGUGUAUCGAUACAUGAUUGUCUCUAACAAAGAUGAAGACUCCUUCAGUUUUGAAAUCAAAGGUUGUAAGUAUUAAAAGUUUCCAGGGUAGAUACUAUUAUAUACUGGAAGGUUAACAAGUAAUGAAGGAUACUAUAAUAAUAGUAAUGGUGGAUGCCAAAAAUGGGAGAAUAUACUGUCAAGCGUUGCUGAAAUCAUUUAGUAACACGGUCUUUACCUAACAUUUGUCAAAUGUUUCAAGAUCUAAAUAGUAACAUUUAUUUUUGAUUUAGUUACAAUUUUGAAUUGUUACUAAAUCUUAUAUAUGUUGUAGUGUCGGACUGGUUGUAUAUUCUAUUCAUGAAUUUCACCAAAAGAUCUUAAUUUUGGGGACGAUACUAGUUUUCUUCCCUCCAUGGUAAGUUUAAUAUAUUUAAAUUUGAAUCUAAUGGAUAUUAACUGUUAUAUAUAUAUAUAUAUAUAUAUAUAUAUAUAUAUAUCAUAUCACCCCACUUUUGAAAAUAUAUUUUAAAUCGAAUGGUGGAUAUUAGGGUAAAAUUAAUUUCCAUCGACAAUAGAGAAUUUUGGAUUGACUUUUUUUUUUAAAUUUUUUUUAAGUCGUUAUUUCAAUUAUAUCUUUAAAUAAUUUUUUCUAUAAUAAUGUUAUAUUGUUGGCGUUAUUAAAAAAUAUAAGAAUUUUUAUUAUAUUAUUGUUGUCAUUGAAAAAGAUAAACAUGAUUUGUUGACUUUGUUACAAAAAUUAUAUAAAACAUUGUUUGUAAUUUUCACGCAAAUUUUAAAUAAAAUAUCGUUGAUAAUAUACACGUGCUAGUGUAAUAAAAAUAGCAAAAAGAAGGGCACGUGAGUGCCCGUAAUAAUAAUAAUAAUAAUAAUAAUAAGAAUAAUAAUAAUAGAUAGAUAGAUAAAUAGAUAGAGAGAUAGACAGUGUUGAACCAAAGUGAGUUUUAGAACAAUGUCUCUAAAGUUUUGAUGAUAACAAUGUAUGAAAGAACAAUUGGAUACACAAAUGUGUGUUCAAGUGUGCAGUACCAUAAAAUUAAAUUCUAACUCUGAAGUCAACUUGUUGGUUCUGAAAUACCAAAAUUUGAAUGCAAAUGAAUGCUUUUGAUAUUCAAGAGAAGCUCUGAAAAAUACGACUAUGAUCUGAAGUUGCACAAAUCCUUACAGAUUCUAAUGGAAAGCAAAUUCUUAUGUAAGUACACUCUAAUGUACAUGUCCUUGGUCAACUGGACACCUCAUGGUCAACUCUAAUGAACUCUGACCAGUUUUGUCUUUUUCUGGAGAGACGUCACUAUCAAGUUAUGAAGCAUUUUUUAUCUUCUUAUGACCACGUGUACAAAAAAUUGAAAGACAAGGAAGAUGCAACAAAUCAUUCAAAAAGAAGCAAAAGAACACAUCAAGUACGAUUCAAUGAAGUCCACAAGAGUAUCAAAAGUCUAUUGAGUUUUAAGUUAGUUUACCACUUUGAGUAUCAAAGUGUAAACACAAUAAUUUUUUUUUUUUUUAAACUUUGAUCGUAGAAGUCCUCAAGUGUGAGGAAAGUUUUUUUUAGACAUGUGUAUGUAAGUAAUUGUAACCUUGUGUGAUAUAUUAUAAUGGAAAAUCUUUUGGAAAUGUAAGGGGACUGAACUAAUUAACCUCGAAUUAUGGGUAAUUGCUUGAGUUGUUCUCUUCUCUCUUUAUCUUUCUAUACUUUGUUUUGUUUUCAAACUUUACUUCCCUUUUUGUUUUUCUCACCUUUAGAUAGAUUAAGAUCCGAAAAAGUGUAUACCCAUUUUAUUUGAUUGCUAGGAAGAAAAAAAAAAUACUCACCAAGACAUGAGAAGGGUGGUUUCAGUUUGAAAUCUUACAAUGCAUUGCACAUCUUUGAACAACAAGAUAAGUAAUUAUUUGGCUCUCAUCAGAUUUCAUGUCCCACCAAUUCAAUCAGAGAAGCGUAAUCUUUAUUUUCCACUACAAAAUGUUCCACAAGAGUACCUUUCUCCAGCACUUCUUUUUAAAAGAAAAGAAAAAUAGAUCAGUGUACUUUAGCACAAUCAUUGAAGGAUAAGUAAUGGAAAGUUGAUAACAUCACUGUUGUCUGUUUAUUCUAUUGACAUAUUUAGAACUUAAUCUACUAACAAUUUUAAUAUAGCCUAAAGUAAUGGAAAUUAAAUAAUAUGAUAAGAUACUGUUUUUUUUUUCUUUCUAUUUUGAAUAUGCUUUAUUCUAGAAAAGAAUACGUCUAUCAUUUUUGUAAUACUUUUUUGAAUAGUAAAAAUAGUAAUAAAAGGUUGAAUUAUUUUUACUUAUUAUGUUAACCAUUUGGUCAGGGAGGUAAUUAAAAUCUGAUAAAUAAUUUUUCCACCUAAAAUGUUAAAUUACUUUGUAGGUAACCUAAUUACUUUCGAAUUUUUAAAUAGAUUUCCUUACAAUUUUUUUAGCUACUGAAUUUUUUAUAAUUUUGAAUAUUUUUUUAUCUAGAAAAUUAUUGGAUUAUUAAUUGUCCAAAUUGAUCAAUGACAUGAGCAAUCAGUUAUUACUCCAUCCGUCAACAACACCUUGUCCUCAAGGCUGUAAUAAAAAAAAGAAUUUGGAUAACUUCUAUGACAGCCUUAUACGUAUUAGGGUUUUUUUAUCAUGUGCAAAUUUGCACAUGUUAACACGUUUAAAGUAGUAAUUUUGACUUGAAACUUGUAUUUUUUAAUAUUAAAUAUGUAACUUUUACUCAAUAAUUGUUGGUUUUCAAUGAAAAGUUACUACUUUUGGUUACCUUAACAUGUGCAAUAUUGCACAUGUAAGACAAACCCUACGUAUUAUUACAUAUAUGGGAUGGAGUAAGUAAUAAUAACGCCAUAUGGAGUAAAAAAAAAAAAAGAACAGUUAAGAAUUAAAUAAUGAAAUUCUAAGUCUUUCUCAAUUUCUAUGACCUAUUCCGACUCUAAUUUGAAUAAUUAUAUGUAUUCAUUUCCUAAUUUGAAUAAUCUAAAUAGAGUUGGAACAAAAAAACCAGAACCGUAGACACUGUGAACAAUGUUUUUAGGGUAAUUAUUAUCUUUACAUAUUAAAGUAAACUGAUCUUUACCUUUAACUUUAAAAAAAGUUGUGAAGAAAGGUCUAGUGCAACAUUUUGCAGUUGAAAAAUAAAGAUAAAGUUGAUUUGAGUAAGAGUUGGGAAGUGCAUAUCUUUUUCUUUUCCUUUUUCAAUCCAAUCCAAAGUUGGGCAGUGCAGAUAGUAAGAGUUUAAAUUAUUCUCCUUCGGGUUCGAUAAGUAUAUUUCUCUUCUUUUUGAAACAAUAUUCAUCGAUCAUGAUAAGCUUUAAGAUAAAGAAACAAGUUGUAUUGAUAUACUUAUGGUUGUGGUGGAUUACUUCUACUAACAUUUGUGUUAAUGCAACAAAUGAUAGUUUGAAGCCAGGUGAUACAUUGAAUUCCAAAUCCAAGCUAUGUUCUAAACAAGGCAAGUAUUGUCUAUAUUUCAAUCGAACAUUAGAUAGCGAAGAUGCUCACUUGGUCAUUGGUGUUAAUGCCGAGUAUGGCGCAGUAGUGUGGAUGUAUGAUAGAAAUCAUUCCAUUGACUUAAAUUCAGCAGUUCUAUCACUAGAUUAUUCUGGUGUGCUCAAAAUAGAAUCAUAAAAUAGGAAACCAAUAAUCAUUUACUCGUCACCUCAACCCAUAAACAACACUUUGGCCACUAUAUUAGACACAGGUAACUUUGUGCUUCAACAAUUUCACCCAAAUGGGACAAAUAGUUUAUUAUGGCAGAGUUUUGAUUAUCCCGAUCACACUUUGAUCCCAACGAUGAAGUUGGGAGUUAAUCGAAAAACUGGACAUAAUUGGUCAUUGGUUUCAUGGAUGACUCCUUCGCUACCAACUCCAGGUGAAUUUAGUCUUGAAUGGGAACCAAAAGAAGGUGAAUUGAACAUCAAGAAAAGCGGCAUAGCGUAUUGGAAAAGCGGAAAACUUAAUAGCAAUGGAAUAUUCGAGAACAUUCCCACGAAAGUUCAACGUAUAUAUCAGUACAUUAUUGUCUCUAACAAGAAUGAAGAUUCUUUCGCUUUCGAAGUUAAAGAUGGGAAGUUUGCACGAUGGCAACUAACCUCGAACGGGAGGUUAGUAGGUCAUGAUGGAGAUAUUGGGAAUGCAGAUAUGUGUUAUGGAUAUAAUAGCAAUGGAGGGUGCCAAAAAUGGGAGGAAAUACCAAAUUGUAGGGAAAAUGGUGAGGUUUUUCAGAAAAUGGUGGGAACACCAACCUUAGACUAUGAAACAGUGUUUGAAUUCGAUGUGACUUAUAGUUACAGUGAUUGCAAGAUUAGAUGUUGGAGAAAUUGUUAUUGCAAUGGAUUCCAGGAAUUUUAUGGUAAUGGGACUGGAUGUACAUUCUAUUCAUGGAAUUCAACACAAUAUGUUGAUUUGGUGAGUCAGAAUAACUUCUACGUCUUGGUAAACUCUAUAAAAUCAGCCCCAAAUUCCCAUGGUACGUAACUUAAUUAUAAUAUCAUUUUUAAGUGAUUAUUUACUGCUUAUUCACCGUAGAUAUUGUCUCUUCCUUCAGCCAUUAGAUAAUCGGUGUCAAUCUAUGGAUAUUUAUGUGCAAUUUUGCCUAGUUAUGUCUAGUUAUAGGUUUUCUUUCAACUGAGGUCUUGGUGAUAUCCCCCUUUUUUUGUAAUACUUUUCUUUUGUUGAAUAUAUUUUGGGUGAGCAAGCCUCUGCUGCUCCCUAGUUUUUUAUUUAUUAUAAAAAAGUGCAAAUAAAAUUAAAUUCAAUUGAACAUGUUGUAAUGAGUCUAAUAAAUCCCAUCACUUAGUUUUUGAAUAGGAAGCAUGUUGAGGGUUCAAGUCUUGACAAAGAAAAUUACCAACAUACAAUAGUUAACCUACUAAUGUUUUUUGAAUAGGAAGCAUUAGUAGGUUAAUUAUUGUGUUAGUAAUUACUUAGCUCAAUUAUGUUGAGCUACCAAACCCCUCCUCCAUCACUUGGUACUAUCUUAUAAAUUAGAUUUUCUAAAGUGUCACGUUAAAUUUUAAAGUAAAGAUUCAUUUGUAUAUUAACCGGUUAGUCUAUUUAAAGAUAUAUAUGACAACGUUACUUAUUUAAAGAAAUUGAUAUGAAAUAGCUCAUUAAGUAUAGCCAUAAAAAUCAUAUAAGGUAUCCAAAAGGGUCAAACUAGGAACUAAAAAAAUGCCUAUGACAAGUAAUAAACCAAACUUAUGAUUGAAUUUUUCGAACUGAUCAUGCAUAGGUCUUACAAAUCCUAAUCGAUCCUAACUUAUUUCCGCUCCUACCUAUGGAUCAUAAGAUAUGACAAUUCAAAAUAAAUACUUAAACUACCCAUUGUCCUUAAGUGACAAACUUGCCUUGUACCUUAAUUGGCGAAAAAUGCAAUUUGAUCAAGAAAAGGUUGAAAAAAAAAAAUCUUUGUUUCACAAGACCUAAAGAACACAAAUAAAAUAGAAAGGUAUCAAAGGGAUAUAUUUCUAUUGAUCAAUGUUAGAAACAAUAGCCAAAAUGACUUAGCUAAAAUGAAACAUCAACCAACUUUUGUUAUAAGUUUCUCGAUUUUCCUAAAGAUAUAUCGCAACCGAUGAAAUUGAAAUUGUAUUAGUCAAGGGAAAGUUAUAAGUGUUUGAACGUUAGAGGGUAUAGUUUUCUCAGGUGACUAAACUUGUAAUGGAAAAUAUAAUCAUGAAGAUUCCAAAAGUCGUAUUUAUAUACAAGGUUUUUGAAUUUGAAGGAUAGGAUUAGGGUUUGGUAUCACAUUCAAAUUAAUUGUGUAUAGUCAAUGCAGGUAAAAAAAAGUGGAUAUGGAUAACUUCUACAAUCGCAGCUGCUUUACUCAUAUUUUGCCCAAUCAUUUUAUGCUUAGCCAAAAAGAAACAAAAAUAUGCACUUCAAGGUAUAUGGAUACUUCAAAAUAGUCUAGUUCAAAUGUACUAAAUCCAAUACCUUUACGACUUUACUUUCUAUUUUGUCUUUUUUUUUUUUUUUUUUUUUUUAUGUAGAUAAGAAAAGUAAAAGAAAGGAUUUGGCGGAUUCGACUGAAUCCUAUAAUAUCAAAGAUCUUGAACAUGACUUCAAGGAACAUGAUAUAAAAGUUUUUAACUUUACAUCAAUUUUGGAAGCAACUAUGGACUUUUCACCUAAAAACAAGUUAGGACAGGGCGGCUAUGGACCCAUUUAUAAGGUAACUUUAAAGUUCAACUGCAUUAAUUAUACAUUAAUGAUUAGGUUUGUUUAAAAGCAUGUUGUAAAUUACUAUCACAGUUAUGGCACCAUCUUCAUGUUGCAAACAAAUGUUUAUAAUGUGGAAAUAUUGUUUUUGAUGGUUGGUGAUUAUUGUUUUGGAUAAAACUUAUAUGCAUCUGUUUUGGUAUGUUCUUAGGUAUUUAUUCUUUUUUGUAUGGAUUUAACUCUAAUAUCAAUGAUUUUUUCAAAUUCAUAAUCUUUGCAAUGUUUGUUGUUACAACUAGAAAAAGUGUAUUAAUUGUUAAGAACCGUAUUAAAAUAAUAUAAGGAAAUGCACCUAAAUUUUGUCCUUUUGUUUUACGACUUCAGGGAAUCUUGGCAACCGGGCAAGAAGUUGCUGUAAAAGGACUUUCAAAAACAUCCGGACAAGGAAUUGUAGAAUUCAAAAAUGAAUUGGUCCUUAUAUGUGAACUUCAGCACAGAAAUCUUGUAGAACUACUUGGUUGUUGCAUUCAUGAAGAAGAGAGGAUUCUAAUUUACGAAUAUAUGUCAAACAAAAGCUUGGAUUUCUACCUAUUUGGUGAGAAUAUGUUGAAGUCUAUUUUGUAUGUGAUGUUUUUUUAGGACAAAUUCAUAAAGUUGUGUUCAUUAUUAUGUAACAAUUAAAGCACAAUUACAACAAAACUUGAGUUUUCUUAACUAAACAUUUUCUGAAAUAAUUGUUGAUAGUUCACGGAAAUAACGUGUUAUCCUAACUUGAAAAUAACCAAGUAAAUCUCAUGUUCUUUGUGACUCAUUAGCUAGCCAUAUAAAAUUAAAAUAGCAUUUUGGUUUGAUACUUUUGAGUAGUAUAAAUUUUAGCAUUAAUUGUUAUGUUUUCAUUGAGAAGAUUGUACAAAAAAGAAGCUGCUAGAUUGGAAGAAGCGUUUUAACAUAAUAGAAGGAAUUGCUCAAGGAUUGCUCUAUCUUCAUAAGUACUCAAGACUCAAAAUUAUUCAUAGAGACUUGAAGGCGAGCAACAUACUUCUUGAUGAGAAUAUGAACCCAAAAAUUUCUGAUUUUGGUAUGGCAAGAAUGUUCACACAACAGGAAUCCGUAGUAAAUACCAACAGGAUUGUUGGGACAUAGUGAGAUUUCUAGACUUUUAUGGUUUCCAAUGUUUUUUAUUGAUGAUUUUGUAAAACAUUAUUUAUUUUUUAAAGUUAUGAUUCUUUUGUGCAGUGGAUACAUGUCUCCAGAAUAUGCCAUGGAAGGAGUUUGUUCUACAAAGUCUGACGUCUAUAGCUUUGGAGUGUUGCUACUUGAAAUCGUUUGUGGGAGAAAAAACAAUAGCUUCUAUGACGUUGAUCGCCCACUAAAUCUAAUAGGACAUGUAUGUCAGUUACUUUCAUCGAGUUUUUUUUAAUAAAUAUUACAUGUUGUUCCUAAUUUGAUUAAAUUAUUAAUAGGCAUGGGAGCUAUGGAAUGAUGGUGAGUAUCUACAGUUAAUGGAUCCAACAUUAAAUGACACAUUUGUUCCUGAUGAAGUGAAAAGGUGCAUUCAUGUUGGUCUCUUAUGUGUAGAGCAAUAUGCAAAUGAUCGACCAACAAUGUCUGAUGUUAUAUCUGUGUUAACAAACAAAUACCAACUCACAAACUUACCAAGAAGACCAGCAUUUUAUGUUAGAAGAGAGAUCUUUGAGGGGGAAACAAUUUCCAAAGGGCAAGACACCGACACCUAUUCUACGACAGCAAUUUCUACUUCAUGUGAAGAAGGGAAAAUAUAAAUAAUAAGCAUCGCCUGUAUAUGGUUUUGGUUUAUAAAACAUACUCAUUUUCUGUGUAAAAAAAAAUCUCGCAAUGGUCCUUUUAUAUGUAUAUUUUCAUAGUUCUCGUUAAUAUAUUUUAGUCUAUAUCAAAUUUUUCAUAGUCCAUGUAAGUGAAAAUUUCUUAGUCCGUCACCAAUCACUUUUAAAUUAUAGCAAGUUUUGUUUAUAAAUGGAAGACAACAAAUUAGUUGCAUAGGCUAUGUAGUAAAAAGCAUACCAAUCACAAAAAUGGAUAACUUUUUAGUUUAAUUGCUUUCACAAAUGGGAGAUUGGAUAGCUUGACUAGUUUGAGCCAAAAGAAAAGAAGUUGGAGGUACUGAGUUUAAACCCAGAUGAAACUCGAACGAAAGAGUAAAUAUUGAUCUAACAACAAAUUACUAAUAUUUUUCGUUAAAAAAAUGCUUUCACAAAAUCUAAGAAGUGGAAAAACCUUACAUGUUAUUCAAGAAGUAAGAAUAAAUGUUGGGUUGUAAGUGUAAGUGGUUAAGUCCAACAUCGCAUGUAAACAUGCAACAUGUUACAUAUAUAAGAGAGUUGACCCAUAUAGUUAACUAGUUUUUUACACCCCGUUUGCACGGGGGAGGAAGUUGUUUUUGCUAAUAUACAGAUUAAUAUUAGAGGUGGUAUUAUGUUGGUUCAACAACUAAAAUGCUAUAUACAUAUAAUAAUUAUGAAUUACGAAUAUAUCAAUCAGAGCAAAUUGAAACAGCAUUGUACCAUAUCUUUUGAAGUCUUGGACCAUUGACUCAUAUCACAUCUACUCUAAAACUAUUGUUCACAUAAAUAGAACAUAUUUUAAUAUGAGCAUUUAUAUAUAUACACCUUUUUGUUUUUCUACACCUUUUCAACACCUCAUUUCUCUCUGUCUCUCUUUCUUAUCAAGUGAGCAAUUUAUCACAUCUAUCACAACACUCUUUUUAUCUCUAUCUCUCUCUAGCGGUAGAUUGAAUUUGGGUGUCUAAAGAUUAUAUUUCUUUCAAUAUAUAUCAAUAGAUUAUAAUGACAGCACCACAUAAAUAGAACAUAUUUCAAUUUCAAUAUUUAAACUACACAACUCCAUUGACAGCGACAUCUCAGUGUCUACAGAGACACCUUAUAAUAUCUUCUAGCUAUCAUGAUAUUUUGGUUUAAAACGUGGCUCUUUUAGACAUGUUGGCUUAAUCCGACGGCAUAGACAAGGCACCCUGCCUUUCAUGCUCCUAAAAGAGUUAGAGAAUCUAUUUUCCUAUCCUCUUGCCUUCUCGCACGCCCUCCUAUUGGAAGAAAAUAUCCCUGUCCGGAUUCUUAAUCCAAACUUUUUUUAUGUAUUUUCAGACUACAUAAUCUUAACCCGGUUAAAAGUCAAUAAACAUAUUGUAAUCCAUAUGAUUAUUUCUUUUGACCAUCGUACUAUCCCUAAAAUACCUAUAUAUAGAUUUUGGGAACAGUAUGAAUACUCAUGAGCAGUGACCAUAUAUGGUAUCAUUACCUGAAGAGGGGAUUUGCAUUGAAUAUAGAGAAUAAUGCAAGGCUAGUUAUAGCCACAAAACCCUCUUGGAGUGUAAGUACAGUCAAAGAAAACGUUUAAAAUGACCAAAGCAACCAAAAAAGCAUAAACAUACCACAAACCGUCCAAACACUUUUUGCAAUGCUAUAGUCCACAUUUUGGACUAGUUCGGAUUAUAUAAUCCAAACAUCUGCCCAAAUUGCUUUGGAUAAGAUACUCUAAUUUUUUCUUUUAGAUUUUGUGCUUCUGAGGGUUAGGCCGGAUUCAAAUUAUAUAAUAUGAGUCGUGCCCAAAACACUGAAAAUUGAAGGAAAAAAACUGUCAUUAAAUCAAAUUCUACAGCAACAACAUUGACAUACAUUAAACAUAACAAUUUCGACCACAUAACUUGAAUAACAUAAUUCAACACUGUAAAAUAACAUAAUAAAAUAACACAUACGCUCAUAAAUCCUCCAAACUAAACUCUUCAUCAGCUAUAUCCUUACAAGUCAUGAUCUCUUCCUAGCUCUGAGGCUGAAUCAAACUUUCCUUGAUAUCAUGAAAAAAUCUUACCAAUGAAGUGUCUAACUCAAAUGACCCUUCUAAAUUGUGCUAACCAAAUAGAGAACAUGGUUCCCACAUCCUAGUUGCUUCAUAGCUUCAUCUGGGUGAACCAGAUGCUUCCAUCUUGGUGGAUCGACGGGUCGCGAUACUCAACGCUGUCCACCCUCCAUGUGUCUUUAUGGUUGAGUCAGCUGUUUAUUUGGUCCAUUUGAUCCUUCAAGACAGACAAUCUGACAUCAACAUGGAUCCUAACCAGAUUAGGUUUCACAUCGUUGUAGUAAACUGAGGCUAGCUUAGUGUUUUUAUCUCUAGAUAAGUGUUGAUAGUAAACAGACCAAUUUAUAUAAGUGUAUGGGAAUCAUGAACAACAUAAAUUGUUGGUGCAAGUGGACCACAAAAAACUAAUAUAUUUGACUAGUUCAGAUUAUAUAAUUUGAAACUUGUCAAAUCCUCCUAAACACAAGUUUUCACACGGUAUGGGUAGGUUUCAAAUUAUAUAAUCUGAACCAAUACAGGAAAGGUUGUAGAUAAUAUAAUCCGAAGCAGUUUAGAAUGUGGACGAAGCAAGAUUGCCUACUUUCAUGUGUUUUUUACCGCAUUUUCAUGGUUUCAACCUCCCCUUGACUGUCAUUACAAUAUAUGUUUGCAUUUUUCCCAUAAAAGUCCACCCAGUCUUCACAAUUUCUCAUUCCAAUUUACAUUCUCUUCUUUUAUUUUUGUUCUUGGAGUUGUCUAUGAUAGCAAUGUUUCACAAUUGGCCUUUCAUACAAAGGUUCAUAUUAUCUAGUGGGGAUAAUAUGAAUGGUUAAAGGGAGUUAUUCCACUCUGCAAAUGUAUAAUGAAUUCUUGAUCAAAUAAUAAACUAGGUUGAAUUCUUGUCAAUUUAAAAUACGAAAAGAUGAUGCCAAUUUUAAUUUUUCUUUAUUAUUUAAUUUUACUCGACAUGUAUAAUCAAAUUAAAACAUAAAGCACAAUAAACAAACCAAUCUGAUUCAUGUUUUUGUAAUUGGCAUGAUUUAAGGGUAAGAGACUAAGAUACAGCGACGUGAUUUAAAUUAGUAUGCUAGGAGGGAGACUUUUGUCCACAAAUCGCAUUUUGUGUUGUUACAAUACCAUUGGUGUUGAUUCUAGUACCUAGAGAAUUAACCUUUGACCGAUUCAACUUUGAAACCACGUAUGAGUAUUUGUGAUAUUAUUUUUUCUUGAGUCCUUUUAUGUUAAGUUGUUGCAUUUAAUUUUUCCGUUUGCAAGCUAAGUUGCUUGAGAUAUAAGCAAUGGUUCAAGUGUGGGGAGUUUGAUAAGAUGCAAAAUGCACCAUCUAAAUAGCUUGAUUUUCAUUUGUUUUAGAGUAGUUUGCCGUGUUUUGCACAGUUGCUGCUGUUGUUUUGCUUGUGUUAUAGGUACUUGAGUGUUGGAAGCAAAAACGGAGCAAAGAGGCUGAAAAUGUAGCUGGUGAUGGUCAUACUCGCAGGAGUGACAGCCAUGAUGUAUCCCUGUGGGACGCCCAUCAGAGCUAGAAGCCGAAAGUCAAGGAAGGAACUGAAAAGGUCAAUGACGGCCAGACCUUCAUAGGGUAUAACGCCCGUCAUGCACCCGGAAGCCGGUGUUUUCAGAUUGCUCUUAAGAGAUUUGCUUGCAAUGCAACUUCUCUGGCAUUUCUUCUGCACGAUUUUGAGAGCUUUCAGCUUAUAAUUUAGGCUGUUAAAGCAACCAAACACUCAGUUUAUUGUACCUUGUGCUACCGUAUUAUAUAUUAUAACUUUCAGAACCUCUGUUUUAUUUUAUUCAGCCAAGUGCUAUUUGUUAUUAUUUCGUUGCUGCUACGUUAAUUUCGAAUCCAAUUAAUUGCCUUAUUACUGUUGUUGUGUUGGUGUGCUUCUGAAGUUCUUUUAUUUUCCCUGUUUGCUGCACUUAAGGUGUUUUUCCUUUCCAUUCCAAUCGUAAUAUAGUACGGCCGCAACUGUUCUCUUUGUUCAAAGUGUUCGUCGAUUUACAGGUUUUGUCCCUUUAUUUACUUUUUAAUAUGAAUUCACCUAAGAUAAAUUUAGAGUAUUAUUUCAAUAUGUGUAGUUUAAUUGAGUCCAUAACGAGAGGACAGUCGUACCGACAGAACUCAUAAAUUAAAUGUCUAUUUGAUUACAACAAGAAUAAAAUCAAUGUUCUGAAAAUUUUGUUUUAAUUUAAAGCUUUACAACGAAAGUAGAAACAUAGAAAUAUCGCUUACGCGUAGAAAGAGCGGCAGCGGUAUUGGACUUAGAAAAUUCAGAUUUUUAAUCAAGUUAGUAGUGAUAAAACUUUUCUAAAAUCCGACAACGGAUUGCGAAAGCAAACGAUGUCUCUAAUUUGGUAUUAUUCUAGAAAAAUAUUAUAUUCUCGUCACAGCUAAGCACCAUAAUUUGUAUGAGUAACUUAGGUGGACGAAAAUCAUUGUUUUGGCCUAUCGUUGUUAUUAUUAAAUUAAAUUCUGUAUUUUAUUUUUAACGCGAAACAAAUUGUUUUGAAUUAGCCUUUGAUAAACAAAGAAACGACAGAUAGCAGUACUUAUAAGUUAGUAUCUACGGAAUCGACAAGCCUUUAUACUAAAACCAAUAUAGCCGUACACUUGCGGCGUAUCAUUUGUUACGUUCAAUUUUGUUAAGUCUCUAAUUUAUUUUUCUUUUCCAGUUUUCCUUUUUUAUGAAGUUAUCAAGCAUACAGGUAGUUUUGUAUAGGUUUUGAAAGGUACUCUUACUUUCGGUAACAAUAUUAUUUUUGGUAUAAUUAGCCCCAUCUGUAGAAUGAUUUUAGCAUCAUUAUAUGCAGACUAAUUAGCAUCACCCUGGAGUGGUAAACAUCAAGGCAGCAAGUGGAGGAGAGAAGCAUUUGAGUCACUAUUUUAAGUUUGAUGGUAAAGAAUUAACUAAAACUGUAUUUAAAAUUGUUUACUAGAUAAUGGCUAUGAUUGAGCUACUAAACGGUAACAUUUUGUUUUUGCAUGUUACUAAUACUACUCUUAAAGUUACUUAAACCAUUUAGUAACAUGGACUUUACCCAGCAUUUAUCAAAUGUUACUAGAUCUAAGAUCUGAAAAAAGUUUAUACACUAAGACAUGAGAAGGAUGGUUUCAGUUUCAAAUCUUAGGAUGCAUUGCACAUCUUUUUGAACUCCAACUUUUUGGCUCUCAUCAGAUUUCAUGUGCCACAUAGUCUAAUCAAACCAACGUUAUCUUUACUUUCCACUACAUUCUCCAACACUUUAUUUUUCUUUUUAAGAAAAGAAUAAUAGAUCAGUUUACUUUGACACAAUUGUUGAAUGAUAAGUGAUGGAAAGUUAAUACUUCACUGUUGUCUGUUCCUACUGUUGACAUACUUUGACACAAUUAUUAUUGUAUUAAAGUAAACUUCUUUUAAAAAAAGUAGUAGAGAAAGGUAGUCUAGUCUGUGCAACAUUUAGUAGUGGAAAAAUAAAGAUAAAGUUGAUUUGACAUUAACUUUGUGAACUAGAACAAACUCUGAUAAGGGUCUAAAAUCAGUUGUAUCAAAUUUCCAACCAAAGUUGGGCAGUGCAGAUUGCAAGAAACAAGUUGGUGAGUAUUUCUCUUCUUUUUUAAACAAUAUUCAUCAAUCAUGAUAAGCUUUGAAAUAAAGAAACAAGUUGUAUUGAUAUACCUAUGGUUGUGGUGGAACACUACUAGCAUUUGUGUUAAAGCAACAAAUGAUAGUUUGAGGCCAGGUGAUAAAUUGGAUGCAAAUUCCAACCUAUGUUCUAAACAAGGCAUGUAUUGUCUAUAUUUCAAUAGCGAAGAAGCUCACUUGGUUAUAAGUAGUGGUUUUGAUGGCCCAGUAGUGUGGAUGUAUGAUAGAAAUCAACCCAUAGACAUAUAUUCAGCAGUUCUAUCACUAGACUACUCUGGUGUGCUCAAAAUAGAAUUUCAAAAUAGGAAUGUACCGAUUAUCAUUUAUUAUUUGCCUGAACCAACCAACGACACUGUGGCCACUAUGUUAGACACAGGUAACUUUGUGCUUCAACAACUUCACCCAAAUGGGACAAAGAGUAUACUAUGGCAGAGUUUUGACUAUCCAACAGAUAGUUUGAUCCCAACGAUGAAGUUAGGUGUUAAUCGAAAAACAGGACAUAAUUGGUCAUUGGUUUCACGGUUGGCUCAUUCGCGACCAACUUCAGGUGAAUUUAGUCUUGAAUGGGAACCAAAAGAAGGUGAAUUGAACAUAAGGAAAAGCGGCAAAGUGCAUUGGAAAAGCGGAAAACUUAGAAGUAAUGGAAUAUUCGAGAACAUUCCAGCGAAAGUUCAAAGUAUAUAUCGGUACAUUAUUGUGUCUAACAAGGAUGAAGAUUCUUUUGCUUUCGAAGUUAAUGAUGGGAAUUUUAUACGAUGGUUCAUAUCCCCGAAGGGGAGGUUAAUAAGUGAUGCUGGAAGCACUGCUAAUGCAGACAUGUGUUAUGGAUAUAAAAGUGAUGAAGGGUGCCAAGUUGCAAACGAAGACAUGUGUUAUGGAUAUAAUAGCGAUGGAGGGUGCCAAAAAUGGGAGGAAAUACCAAAUUGUAGGGAACCUGGUGAGGUUUUUCGGAAAAAGGUGGGAAGACCAAAUAAAGACAAUGCAACAACUACUGAAGGUGAUGUGAAUUAUGGUUAUAGUGAUUGCAAGAUGAGAUGUUGGAGAAAUUGUAAUUGCUAUGGAUUCCAAGAAUUAUACAUUAAUUUUACUGGAUGUAUAUACUAUUCAUGGAAUUCAACACAAGACGUUGAUUUGGACAAAAAGAAUAACUUUUACGCCUUGGUAAAGCCAACAAAAUCACCUCCGAAUUCCCAUGGUAUAUAACAUUUAGUAUCAUUUUAAUUAGAUAGAUUUUUUUUAGUAUGAUUCUAGAAAUAUUUCCCUCUAUUAUGGCCGGUGUCGGUCUAAGGACAAUUGAAGUGCAAAUAAAAUUGAUUGAAAUCAAACAUCUUAACGCCACCACUUAGUUUUUUUAUUUUAUUUGUGUAUAGUCAAUGCAGGUAAGAGGAGGAUAUGGGUAGGUGCUGCAAUCGCAACUUCUUUACUCAUAUUAUGCCCACUCAUUUUAUGCCUAGCCAAAAAGAAACAAAAAUAUGCACUACAAGGUAUAUGGUUACUUUAAAAGAGUUAAUCCAGGUAAAAAAAAAAAAGAUGGAUAUGUAUAGGUUCUAUUUUUAUCUUUGAUUUUUUUGGUUAUGUAGGUAAGAAAAGUAAAAGAAAAGAGGGUAAGAGGAAAGAUUUGGCGGAAUCCUAUGAUAUCAAAGAUCUUGAAAAUGACUUCAAAGGACAUGAUAUAAAAGUUUUUAACUUUACAUCAAUUUUGGAAGCAACUUUGGACUUUUCAUCUGAAAACAAGUUAGGACAGGGAGGCUAUGGACCCGUUUAUAAGGUGACUUGAAAACAAAUGUUUAUAAUGUGGUAAUAUUUUUUUCAUGGUUGCCGAAUUUUGUUUCGGACAAAACAUAUAUGCAUUGGUUUUAGGUAUAUUUAGUAUAUGGUUAUCAACUUAAGUAUCCAUUAUUUCUUCAAAUAUAUAAUUUUAGCAGAGAUCCAUUAAAAAGCAUUUAAGGAAAUACAUCUAAAUUAUGACUUCAGGGAAUCUUGGCAACAGGACAAGAAGUUGCUGUAAAAAGACUUUCAAAAACAUCUGGACAAGGAAUUGUGGAAUUCAGAAAUGAAUUGGCAUUGAUAUGUGAACUUCAACACACAAAUCUUGUACAACUACUUGGUUGUUGCAUUCAUGAAGAAGAAAGGAUUCUAAUUUACGAAUAUAUGCCAAAUAAAAGCUUGGAUUUCUAUCUAUUUGGUGAGAAUAUGUUGAAGGCUAUAUUUGUAUGUGAUGUUUUUUUUUUUUUUUUAUAUGAAAAAAAUCAUAAAAUUGUGUAUAUUAUUAUGUUAUAAAUAGAGCACAAUUAUAAAUAAAGUUAUGGGAUCUUUAUUUUGGACAGUUCACUAAAAUAACAUGUUAUUCUAACUUAAUAACCAAUAUCAUGUUUUAUGGGACUCAUUAGUUAGUCAUAGAAAUCUAAAAUGGCAUUUUAGUUUUCUACUUUUGAUUAGUAUACAUUUUAACAUUAAGUAUCAUGUUUUCAUUGACAAGAUUGUACAAGAAAAAAGUUACUAGACUGGAAGAAGCGCCUGAACAUAAUCGAAGGAAUUUCUCAAGGACUACUCUAUCUUCAUAAGUACUCAAGACUCAAAAUCAUUCACAGAGACUUGAAGGCUAGCAACAUACUCCUUGAUGAGAAUAUGAACCCGAAAAUUUCUGAUUUCGGUAUGGCAAGAAUGUUCACGCAACAAGAAUCAACAGUUAACACCAAUAGGAUUGUUGGGACAUAGUAAGUUUUCUAAGCUUUCUUUAUAUCUACCUUUUUAUCGAUGAUUACACAAAAGAGUUGAGAUUUUUAACAAAAUUUUGGUGCAGUGGAUACAUGUCUCCAGAAUAUGCAAUGGAAGGAAUUUGUUCAACAAAGUCUGAUGUUUAUAGCUUUGGAGUGUUGCUUCUUGAAAUUGUUUGUGGAAGAAAAAACAAUAGCUUCCAUGAUGUUGAUCGCCCACUAAACCUAAUAGGACAUGUAUGUAAAUUUACUCCCAUUGACUUUAUUUUAAAAAUAUAGAAUUCCUCCUUGUUCCUAAUUUGAUUAAACUCCUAACAGGCAUGGGAGCUAUGGAAUGAUGGUGAGUAUCUACAGUUACUGGAUCCAUCUUUAUGUGACACAUUUGUUCCUGAUGAAGUGAAAAGGUGCAUUCACGUUGGUCUCUUAUGUGUACAACAAUAUGCUAAUGAUCGACCUACAAUGUCCGAUGUUAUAUCAAUGUUAACAAACAAAUAUGAACUCACAACUUUACCAAGAAGACCAGCAUUCUAUAUUAGAAGAGAGAUCUAUGACGGGGAAACAACUUCUAAAGGGCCAGACACCGACACCUAUUCUACGACAGCAAUUUCUACCUCAUGUGAAGUAGAAGGAAAAUAUAAGUAAUCAAUAUAUAUUGGUCAAAAACUGCAAGCUAGAAUGCAAGUAAAAAACGGCUUGAUUAUGGUAUUGGUUUCUGUAAUAUUCUCAUUUUCUGUGCUUGUAAAAUGUAAUAUACUCAAUUUCUGUACUUGUAAAAAUAUUAUCAAAAUGGUCUACUUUCUAUUGAAAAACUAGUUAGUUGAUACUUUCUAUUGAAAUAUUAUCAAAAUGGUCUACUUUCUAACUGUGCUAUUGAAAUACUUGUGAAAAAUGGCACACUUAUAUUUCAUUUUUUGCUUAAAAAAAUGUCACACUUUUCAUCGUUCUCUCUUCACCAUCUUACUUCACCGCCGAACCCACCAUCGCGCUCCACCGUCGUGGAUUCUCUCUCCACUGCCAAACUAAAUUGAGCUUCACCUUCAAAUCCACCUCUCUUCACCGUCAAACUCAUCACUACACCGUCGAACUCUCACCGUCAAGCUUCACACCGUCGAAUCUCACCGUCGAGCUACACAAUUCAUCCAUCGAGCUUCACUCUUUCUUUCUAAGGUAACAUUUCUCAUAUUCUUCUUCUGUUAUUCGCCUUCGUUUCCGCUUUCGCACUUUCGAUUUCGUUUAGAUCUUAUCAAAAUUAUCGUCGAUCCAUGCUGUGUUUCUGUUAUGAAUUGCAAUUUAACUCAAUUUUUUGAGUUAUGAAUCGAAAUUAACUUGUAUGUUUUCUGUUUGUUAAAAUGCUUCAACGAAAUUUUUAGUGUUUCAGAAUAUCCAAUGGAAUUUUGAGUUCUUGUAUGUUUUCUGUUUGAUAAAAUGCUUCAAUGAAUUGCCAUUUUAAGAUUUGUCUGAUGUUGCUGCGUGCGUAAGUAUAAGAAAUUUAACUGAAGUUUUGUGUUGAGAAGUAGUAGUAAUUAAUUAGUAGUGUGUCGACAUGUUGUGUUGAGAAGUUUUGUGUUGAUAUUGUUGAAGAGAUUAAGGUGUUGUUGUGGAGGUGGAUGUUGGAGAGGACUUUUACCCCAUCGUGCCUUUUCUACCAAUGGUGUUGGAAUCCUAGGUUGUGUCUUGAAAGGUAAUGUUGGCGGUUUAUGAGUUUUUCUGUUAGAGGCUGCUGCAGGGAGGGUUUUUAGAGUAUUGGGGUUUUGGUGGUGAGUUGCCAGUGACUUAUGUUGCUGGCCUGGCUUCUCUGUGAUUUGGCUUGUUAGUAUCGGCUUUUGGUAUAGUGCUUUGGGUAUUGUUUGUUAGUGCUGUUGUGGGUGUGUUUCUUUGGCUCUACCAUAGGUGUUUUUCCUUUCUCCUUAGCAGAUGAAUCUAACACCUCAACCAUGUCUCUCUCUCCUUCAAUGCUGCUUUCUGAUGAGUCAUUUAUUGCUUAUUUUUAUAUGCUAUUAAGUUUAGGGAUUGUUAUGAGAUUUUAGAGAAUUUUGGGGGAGAAAGAGAAAUAAGAUAAAAUAGAAAUAAGAUUAUAAAUAGGAAAGACCUAGUUUAGAAACAUUUAUGAAGACGCCAUUGUGCCAAAGACUGUUUUAGUUAUUGAAUAAAUUCCGCUGUGAAGUAUUAAAGAUUUUGUUAUUGAAUUUUAAAGGAUAAAUAGUUAUUUAUUCAGUUUAUGAUUUUAAGAAUGUGACAUUCCGUUUAUGUGAAUACUCUGAUUAUUUUUAUGAAAUUAAUAUGUUGGGAAAUCGGGGUGUUACACUAUAAAUAGAGUAGUCAUCCAUCACAAAUAUUCAUCCUUUCUUGGAAUUCAAUAAGUGACAAUUGCUUUUCUAUUAAAAGUUCUUUUCUUUUCCUUUAUUUUCUUGUCAUUUACUUUUAUGCUUUCUCUCUUCUUCCCCAUGUCUACGAUGAACAUGAGUGAGUAGACUUCUCCUUGUCUUGGGAUUGUUGGAUAAGUCUAAAUGACAUAAUCCUAAUCAAGCCAAGUUCUAAGCCUUAAUUUUAUGCAACCCUAGUUUCUUAUCUAAAUUCACCGCUUUAACAUGGAUCAACCAUUAUCAAACUGUGGAAACGAAAGUGGAGGGUUUGAUAAUUGUUUAUCCAUCAUCUCAAAUAUCAAUUCAUAAAACGAAAGUGGAGCUUUGAUAUUCGAACAAGUGAAUUUAGACAAGGAUUGCAAAGGCAGCGAAAUAGUCUUUGCAAUCUUUGAGACAUAUAGUUUCGAUCUUCAAGGGAACUAAUAAUAAUAAAGUCAGCGAAAUAUGCUUGGUUGUUAGAGGAACCAAAAUCUAAUAGUAAUCAAGUCAGCGAAAUAGGCUUGGUUGAGGAACCAAAAUCUUUCUUUGUGAUUAGAACUCUUUCUUCUUCCCCUUUUCUUCUCUUCUUCUUUCUUUUUGUUUCCUUACACUUGACUUCUUGGGUAGCAUAAAAUAAUAGAUAACAUGGCUGAGGAACACACUUUUAAGGAGUAUUCGAUCCCUUCUUCAGAUGAGCCAUGCACUAUUAUGUUUACCCAACGGUUGAAGGUAGUGGUUUCAAAAUAAAACCUGCACUACUAAGUUUGGUACAACAAAACCAGUUUUUUGGAUCACCCUCUGAAGACCCAAAUUUGCAUAUCUCAACCUUUUGGAGACUUAGUGUAACUUACAAAGACGACCAAGAGACCGUUAGACUACAUCUCUUCCCUUUUUCUCUAAAAGAUAGGGCCAGCAGUUGGUUCAAUUCUUUAAAACCCGGCUCCAUCACUUCAUGGGAUCAUUUGAGGCGAGAAUUCCUUUGCUGUUUCUUUCCCCCAUCAAAAACCGCCCAACUUAGGGGAAGGCUUUACCAAUUUACUCAAGAAAACGGGGAAUCUCUUUACGAUGUGUGGGAGCGUUUUAAAGAAAUACUUAGACUUUGUCCCCAUCAUGGUUUGGAGAAAUGGUUAAUCAUCCACACCUUCUACAAUGGUUUAACAUCUAACACUAAGUUAACUGUUGAUGCAGCUACAAGUGGUGCCCUAAUGAACAAGGAUUUUACAACAGCUUAUGCCUUGAUUGAAGACAUGGCUCUAAACCUUUUUCAAUGGACUGAAGAGAAAGCAAUCAUCAAUUCUUCACCCUCUGAAAAAGAGGCAGGUAUGAACGAAAUCUCUUCCUUUGCUAUCUAUCUACCAAGGUGAAUGCACUAUCUCAAAAACUUGAUCACAUGAAUACUUGUGCUGUCACACCUACUUCUUUUUCACCUCCAUGUGAAGCAUGUGGCAUAUCUAGUCAUUCUAGCAUCGAUUGCAAACUAGGUAGUGUUGAGCAGUUAAACUUUGUUCAGAAUGGCCAAAGAGUUGUUCAAAAGUCUCACAUUGAACUUUUAAUGGAAAACUAUUUUCUUAAACAAUCCGAACAGCUCCAAGAGCUUAAGGAUCAAACUAGACUUUUGAGCGACUCUCUUGCUACUCUCACAACAAAGAUAGACUCCAUCUCCUCUCACAACAAAACUUCAGAAACUCAGCUCUCCCAAGUAGUUCAUAUGGUCGGCCACCCCAACAAAAUGAAUGCUGUUUCACUUAGGAGUGGUAAGCCACUCGAAGACCCCAUAGGGAGAACCAAAUCCAAUGAAAGUGAGAAAGAGAUUUGCGAACCACCGCUUAGGGAAACUAGGGUAGAAAGAGAAGAACCAUGAGUUGAGGAAACCACACCACCUCCCUUUAAGCCAAAAAUUCCCUUCCCACAAAGGUUUGCCAAAUCUAAGCUAGAUGAGCAAUUUAAAAAGUUCAUAGAAAUGAUGAACAAAAUAUACAUUGAUGUGCCUUUCACCGAAGUCUUAACCCAAAUGCCUACCUAUGCUAAAUUUUUAAAAGAAAUCCUUUCUAAAAAGAGAAAAAUUGAGGAAGGUGAGACGGUUAACCUUACGGAAGAAUGUAGAGCCAUCAUCCAAAAUAAAUUGCCACCAAAGCUUAAAGACCCAGGUAGUUUCUCCAUACCUUGUGUCAUAGGGUCAGAAGUAAUGAAGAAAACUAUGUGUGACCUAGGAGCCAGUGUCAGCCUAAUGCCUUUAUCCCUUUAUGAGACACUGGGAAUAGGGGAACUUAAGUCGACCAGGAUGACCCUACAAUUAGCGGACCGUUCUAUUAAGUACCCAGCUGGAAUCAUAGAAGAUGUCCCCGUUAAGGUAGGAGAGGUGUACAUCCCUGCUGAUUUUGUUGUGCAGGAGCCAGCAUUGAUGUUAAAAAUGGUAAGUUAGCUUUUAAUGUUGGUAAAGAAACUGUUGAAUUUGAACUUGCCAAACUAAUGAAAAGUCCUUCUAUUAAGGACUCUUGUUGCAUGAUAGAUAUAGUCGACUAUUGCGUGAAAGAAUGCUCUUUAGCAUCAACUACACAUGAUGGUUUGGAAGUAUGCUUGGUAAACAAUGCAGGUACAAAGCUGGAAGGGGAGGCGAAAGCUUAUGAAGAGUUGUUGAAUAGAACCCCUCCAAUGGAAGGUUUAAGUGUGGAGGAAUUAGUAAAGGAAGAGCCAGCACUUCUACCCAAGGGGCACCGAAAGUAGAGCUUAAACCGCUUCCAUCGAAUCUAAGGUAUGAAUUCUUGGGCCCUAACUCAACCUACCCUGUUAUUGUGAAUGCAAGCCUCGAUGAAGUAUAAACUGAAAAGUUACUUUAUGUCCUCAAGAAAUAUCCUAAAGCUAUAGGGUACACCAUUGAUGACAUUAAAGGAAUAAAUCCUUCGUUAUGCAUGCAUAGGAUACUUCUUGAAGAAGACUAUAAACCCUCCAUUGAACAUCAAAGAAGGCUAAACCCUAAUAUGAAAGAAGUUGUGAAAAAAGAAGUUUUAAAACUUCUAGAUGCAGGUGUUAUUUAUCCAAUUUCUGAUUCCAAAUGGGUUAGCCCCGUGCAAGUCGUACCUAAGAAGGGUGGUCUCAAAGUUAUUAAAAAUGAUAAAAAUGAAUCCAUUGCUACUAGAACCGUCACCGGUUGGAGAAUGUGCAUUGAUUAUAGGAAGCUUAAUAAAGCUACCCAUAAAGAUCACUUCACUCUCCCUUUUAUAGAUCAAAUGUUAGAAAGGUUAGCUAAGCAUUCACAUUUUUGUUACUUAGAUGGUUAUUCCGGAUUUUUCCAAAUACCCAUUCACCCUAAUGACCAAGAAAAGACAACUUUUACAUGUCCCUUUGGAACCUUUGCUUAUAGGAGGAUGCCUUUUGGUCUUUGUAAUGCCCCUGCUACUUUUCAAAGAUGCAUGAUGUCUAUUUUUUCUGACUUUGUUGAAAAGAUAAUGGAAGUUUUUAUGGAUGAUUUUUCUGUGCAUGGAUCUAGUUUUGAUAAUUGUUUGACUAACCUUGAAAAAGUUUUGGAAAGAUGUGAGCAGGUGAACCUAAUCUUGAAUUGGGAGAAAUGUCACUUCAUGGUAAGAGAAGGAAUUGUCCUAGGACACUUGGUCUCCGAAAGAGGUAUAGAGGUAGACAAAGCAAAAAUCGAGAUUAUUGAAAAAUUCAGGCAAUACCUGGUGGGAUCAAAAAUCAUUGUUUACACAGAUCACUUGGCCAUAAAAUAUUUGCUAAACAAAAAAGAUGCCAAACCGAGGUUGAUCCGAUGAAUUUUGCUCCUCCAAGAAUUUGACCUUGAAAUAAAAGAUAAAAAGGGUGUUGAAAAUGUUGUAGCUGACCACUUGUCCCAACUUAGGGAGACCAAUGAGGAUGAACUACCCUUGGAUGAUUCCUUCCAGGAUGAUCAACUCUUCUUAUUGGCACAAACUAACGCACCUUGGUAUGCAGAUUUUGUUAAUUUUUUUGCAGCAGGAGUACUACCACCUGAGUUGAGCUACCAACAGAAGAAGAAGUUCUUCAAUGAUCUCAAGCAUUAUUAUUGGGAUGAGCCUUACCUCUUCAGAAGAGGCUCAGAUGGGAUUUUCAGAAGAUGCAUUCCUGAAAACGAGGUAAGUAGUAUUCUAACCCAUUGCCACUCCUCUUCUUAUGGUGGCCACGCCAGUACACAAAAGACUUCUUUCAAAAUUCUUCAUUCUGGUGGCCAUCACUUUUCAAAGAUGUGCAUCUCUUUAUUUCUAAAUGUGACAAAAGUCAACGCACUGGUAGUAUUACUAAAAGAAAUGAAAUGCCUUUGAACAACAUCCUUGAAGUAGAAAUUUUUGAUGUUUGGGGUAUUGACUUUAUGGGACCAUUCCCCUCCUCUUUUGGGAAUCAAUACAUAUUGGUAGCGGUUGACUACGUGUCCAAAUGGGUUGAAGCCAUUGCCUCCCCCACUAAUGAUGCACAAGUUGUUAUAAAACUGUUUAAAAAAAUCAUUUUUCCAAGGUUUGGAGUGCCAAGGGUUGUGAUAAGCGAUAGAGGGUCUCACUUCAUUUCAAAACAUUUUGAAAAACUUGGAGUAUGGCACAAAAUUGCAACACCUUAUCACCCACAAACUAGUGGACAAGUGGAGGUCUCAAAUAGACAAAUCAAAGCUAUCCUUGAAAAAACUGUUUCAACCUGUAGAAAAGAUUGGUCAAGUAAGCUUGACGAUGCCCUUUGGGCCUAUCGGACGGCUUAUAAAACUCCCAUUGGAAUGACUCCUUUUAAACUAAUCUAUGGGAAAUCUUGUCACCUUCCGGUUGAGCUCGAGCAUAAGGCUUAUGGGGCAAUUGAAAUCUUUUCUGAAGAAAUCGGAUCCUUUACGGUUAAUGGGCAAAGGCUUAAAAUCUAUAAUAUCGGAGAAGUAAAUGAAGUGGUGGCUGAUUUUACUCUAAGUGACCCUCCUUAAGGAUUUUUAUCCUUACUUUUGUCAAGCUAGUGACACUAAAAGAGCGUUUCGUGGGAGGCAACCCAUUGAUUUAAUUGUUUUCUUUGUUUUAUGUUAUUUCUCUUUGUUUUGUAGGUAAAUGUCCGAGAUUGAUUAGGAAAUGCAAUAAAAAUUAAAGUUACAAGACCCAGAAAGGUGGCACGGCCCGUGCCAGGAUCUAACACACAAAAUCAACCGAAGUUGGUAGCAUGAUGGCACGACCAGUGCUAAAGUUGGCACGGCCGUGCCAACCUGACAGGCCUCUAGGGUUCAAUUUUUUUGGCAAAUUGUGAGCUUUCCGCUUCCUUUUCCACUAUUUCCUUGUUUCUUUCAUUUUUCUUCUUAAAUCAUUGAGGACAAUGCUUCUCCUAAGUGUGGGGGGAGCCUAAUAAAGUGUCUUUAGUCGUAGUGUUUCCUAACUCCCUUGAACUUUAUUCUUUUUGUUUUGUUUUAUUGUGAAAGGCAUGAUUAAGUAGCUUGUUUUUAUUGAAAAAUCAUGACAUAAUUUUUUUUUAUUGUCUCCUCUUAUUGGUCGUUUCUUGUACAUGAAAAUAAACUAUUGUGUUUCAAGUUCUCCUUAUAUACCCACAUCUUGUUUUAAAGUGAAUAAAAAAAUGCACAAGUUGCUUCCCUUGAGUAAAUGUAUGAAUAGGUAUUUUAACGAAAUGCGUUCUAAUUUUAGUGGUACUUUAACCUUUAAAAAUUCUCAAAGUAAAAAUAAUAUAAGUUAGUAUAAAGGAGUUUAUAAAAAGCCAAGCUUAAAACUUAUUUCAAGGUUGCAUUAUUGAAUCUAGAUUGGGGAAGGAGGUAGGCCCUUCGACUUCCUACGUGAAGGUAAUGUUAUCUUGAAAAAGAAACUUUAAAAGCACGACACCAUUUAUCCUCUCCAGGAACAAUUCAAAAUCGUUGCCAGAACUUCUAAAAGCGUUGCCUAAUGGUUUAGGGGACGUUUUUCAGGUGUCUCCUAUGUGAGCGUCGCCAAUUGUCUAAGGGGACGCUUUUUUUGCACCUUUGGGCACACUGUUUAUAAACGCCUGCUGAAGUCCUGGAAUAGGGGACGCUUUUCUGGAGUAACAUUGGCAACGUUUUCCAUUGUUGGCAUAUUUAACAACAGUUCAUAAGCGUUGCCUAUUACUUCAAAAAUUAAAAAAAUAAAUUAAUUAAUUAGUUUGAUGCUUUUGAACCUUGAUUGAUUGGAUGCCAUUUAUACAUAAAAAUAGAGUCGUUCUGAUUUCUGUAGUUUAUGUCUUCACCAUAUUUUCAUAAAAAUUCAUAUAUUAUAAACUUUUAUCGAUACAAAAACUCAUACCAAUGGUUACUUUUUUUAUAACAUCAAAUAACAGGGAGCAUUUUCUUACUCAUAAAAAAGGAGUAAGUUAUGGAACAAAUCAAACCCAAGGGUUCAAACCAAAUUGUUUGGGGGCUACACUACAAGCAUCAACAUUCUUUAUACAUUUUGAUAAAAAUUACCUUACGAUUAGACAAACUAGAUAAAAUUCCACAACAAUCUAACAUAACAUUUCAAGUGGAAGCUACUUCAAUUUUGCCUUCGAGCCAUUUGACACAUACCCUAGUAUCCAUUUCCACUAGAAUGUGACCAUCUUGAUUAGUAGUUCAGACACCAACGAAGGACAAGUGCUUCAUCCAAGGUGCAGUCAAAUUUUAGUUGUGGCACGUGUCUAUGAAGGAGAACAACCAACAUAAUGCAUCAAUGUUUUGCCUUAAUUUCUAUGAAAAGCUUAGCCUUACUUCAUAUGAAUAAAAACAACCAACAUUGAACAUUAAGUAUUGACUAAACAAUAUGAAAAGUUUUGCCUUACUUUCUAUGAAUCAAGUUCUGCCAUUGGAUUUUGUUGAAAGCUGAGGGAUCUUUUAACAAAUAAAUCAAUCAACUAACACUAAGAGAAAAAAACCUCACGUGAUCAUUGUGCCAUCGUAUGGCCUGCGCUCAUGUCACCAUUCUCUAGUUUCUGAGUCGCUUUGUAGCGCCUAAGGCUGGGAGGUGCUGACCGUAAUGAAUUUCGUACCAUCUCUUGCUAAUUGAUAUCCCUUGCAGAACUUCAAACCAACUCCAAAACCCAAACAACAAAUAACACAAAUUGGGUUUAAAAUCACAAUAAUUUGAUUUUUUUUUAAAAUUAAUAAUUUGAUAAAUUAAAUAACAUACAAAUUUCAUCACCAUCAAUAAUUUGAUAAAUUAUUUAAAUUGAUCAAUCAUUGUUAAAUAAAAAUUAGGGAAAAACCUAACUGAAUCAUGAAACCUAGAUCCAGUGAUAUACAUAUGAAAUUGAAUAAACAUGAAGGAGAGCCAUGAACGAAAAUUACCUUAACAACCCGAAAAUGACCUCAACACAGUCUGUUGAAGAAUUUAAGGCAGCCAUCGCAGAGGAUUUAGGUGUGAACGGCGAAAUCGAACUUGCAGUCGUUUCUCUGUCACCGCACUGCAAAGGGUUUUGUUUCGCUCGCGUUUCAUAACGUAAACUUUGAAAAUCAAAAUCACGAUAGGGUUUGGAAGGAACCGCACAAUUAAGAGAAUUUGGGAGUGAGAAUCCAAAGUAGAUAGAAGAUAAGCAUACUUAGAAAUCAAAAUCGUAAGGGGUUAGGGAUUGGAAGAGAGAAAUCGAAUGGAUGAAGUGAGUGGCUGCAAGUGUACGUGUCUCUGUAUUGGAAGGGAUAAUGUUCUAAACUUCUAAUUGUGUAAAUUGUGUAAUUUUUAGUUAUGUGUGUAUUAUUUUAUUAUUUUUUUUUCAAAUGUGUUCUUUUUCUUUAUGGAUAAGUUCGGAUUAGUUAAGUUGAUUAUUUUUUUUACUAAUAUUUUUUUAAGGACGAUAAACUAUGUUUAUUAAUAUUUAUUUAUAUAAUUAAAAUAUAACAAAACACGGUGACAUGCAAAUUGUAUAAAAAAAUUAGAAAGAUGUACAAUAUUUUAUUUUUUCUUUUAAUAAUAAUAAUUUGGCCCAUACUUUUUUUUAGGAAGUGACCCAUAAAACUUAAUAUUAUAUUACACUAGCGAAAAGAUGGGCAUUCACGUGCUCGUCUUUCUGCUCUUUUUACUGUGCUAACGUUUGAAAAUUAAGAGCAGUGUUUUUUUAAUGAAAUUUUGAUUUUGAUUAAAAUUAAAAAUAAAAAUGUUUGUUGCUUUCAAUUAUAAUAAACCAAAUCGUUUGAAAAUUAAGAGCAGUGUUUUUUUAAUGAAAUUUUGAUUUUGAUUAAAAUUAAAAAUAAAAAUGUUUGUUGCUUUCAAUUAUAAUAAACCAAAUCGUUUGAAAAUUAAGAGCAGUGUUUUUUUAAUGAAAUUUUGAUUUUGAUUAAAAUUAAAAAUAAAAAUGUUUGUUGCUUUCAAUUAUAAUAAACCAAAUUAACUAGUGUCAUACCCCAUUUUGACUAUUUAGUUCUCAUUUUUACUCGUCUUUUAAAGCUGAGAACUUUCAUCGUUUCUGAAGAAAUUUCGGCAGGUAGGUUACUUUGAAGUACGCGAAAAAUUGGUUUCGAAGCGACAGUUUUAAGUUUUUUAUUUUUAUUUUAUUAUUUAUUUUAUUUUAUUUUCUAUUUGUUUAUUUUAUUUUUUAUUUUUGAAAUUCUCUUAUUUCCUUUUAAAAAAAAUUCUUCUCAUUAUUCUUUCUUUUUUAAAAGGUUUUAAGUUUUUUUUAAUAUUUUUUUUGUGCAAAGUCCAUAUUUGUCCCGAAGUGAAGUUCAACAAAAUAACAAACACAUUUUCUUUCUUUAUUUCACACUUAGACUUUUAUUUACAAGUAAGUAAUUAAUUUAGCACAAGAUAAUUAAAAAAAAAGAGGUUUCUAUAAAGUACUAUAUAGAUGUUUAGGAUGCUAAAACCUUUCCUUUGCGUAACCAACCCUUAAUCUCUUAUUAUUAGGGUUAUUCGAUUUUUCCCCCUUUUCUUGAAAAAAUAAAGCUUGGUGUUGAACUGAAAAUUUACGAGUCAACGCUAAUCAAUAGCUUGAUAUCGAAAAAUCACAGCGACAACUAUGAUUAUAUAUUUCAACGACACCAACUAUAUAACAAAAAAUAUAUAAUCUAAUUUUUUUUAAUGACAUCAACAACGAUAUUUAUUAUAAAAUAAUUUGUUUAAGAGUAUAAUUGAGCUAAUGAAAAAGUAAGUAUAAAUAUAUAUAUUUAUAUCAUGUUUGUUACAUUUUUUUUAUAUUUACAUUUACUCUUAUGUCAUUGUUACAUGUGUUAUUUGUAUUUAAAAUUGAGGGUAUUUUUGGAAAGAGAAGAAAGUCAACCCAAAAGAGCUGAAUGAAGUUAUUUUCUUUAUAUAUAAUAAAAAAAAAAUUAGAAAUGUGGUGUGUUGACCAGGCCAAAGUGGAGGGAAAAUUUGUUUUUUGGUAAACAAGCUUGGAGGGAAGAUUGUCACCAAAAAUUUGAUGUUGGUGAAAUUUUUAUGCAACAAUCUAAAAUUGUCCCCAAAAGUAUCUAAGGGGACAAUUAAUGGUUGUCACCAAAGAAAUAAUAUUGUAACGCUCUAAAAUCGUCCCCAAAGGUAUUUAAGGGGACAAUUAAUGGUUCUCACCAAGGAAAUAAUAGUGUAACACUCUAAAAUCGUCCCCAAAAGUAUUUUAGGGGACGUUUAUCAGGGGUUGCGAAAAUAUUUUUGGCAACAGCCAUAAAACGUUGCCUCAGAGACUUUUAAGGGACAAUUUUUACACGUCCCCUAAAAAAGUGUUGCUAGAGAACAAAUGGUGUAGUGUGCAUAGUUCUAAUUGUGUUGCAUAGUUCUAAUUGUGUUGCAUAGUUCAUUUUCAUUAUGCAAGAAUAAGAACAAUGAAGGGGGAAAUUGUAGAGUAUGUAAUUCAAACUUGUUAUUAAAACUUGUAUCUAAUAUUAGUUAAUUCAAAUAUGAAUGAAGUUUAAGCAAAGACAAAUUUGGUAGAUUCAAAAAAAUUUAGUCUAGACAAUUUUGCGACACUUUUUACAACUUCUCAAAAAUUAUAAAUGUAACACUUUUUUAUUGUUACUAGUGAUACAAAAAGUGUUACAAUAAUGUAACAUUUGCGACACUUUUUAAUUGUUACAGAUAAUACUAUAAAAUGUAACUAAAACUCUUUAGUAACACGGACUUUAUCUAACAAUUGUUCGAGUGUUGCAAAAUUUAAUUAGUAACAUUUUUCUUGAUUUAGUUACAAUUUUCAAGUGUUGCUAAAUGUCAUUAUUGUAGUAGUGAAUUUCUUGAUCGAUCUGGAUGUUCCUCUUUACGCUUUAAUUUUCUAGGUGCGUGUGAGUGAUUGGAUUAUGCGUUUCUUUUUCAAAUUUUGAAGGAAAAUAGGUAAUGGAAGUAGGAGACAAGUACAGAAACCACAACCAUAUGUAGAUAUGAAAAAUGCAAAUAAAUUUGUGAUGUUAAGGAAUUAAGAAAAAGUUAAAUAUUCAAUUGCCUUUGUUUAUUCAUUUUCGGCACAAUAGGAUUCAAUGCGACACCAAACUUGCUAUCUCUAUGCCAUGAAAAACGAAAACAGACACCAAAGAUAACACUAACAAUUCAAUACGACAGUAUUGUGAGAAAAUAUAAUGAUUAUAUGGAAUUGAGAAAAGAAACAUUGUAUGGGAAUAGAUGGAAUUGACAAAUACAGAAGCUGCAAAGAUGCGAAUAGAUGGAAUUGCGAAAAAAAUUAAAUAUAUGGAAUCGAGUGUGCUUAUUGAAUUUUAAACGCUACACUUUGCCGCAAUUGUUACUGUGGUAGACAUUUUUUUUUGAAUUUAUUCCUUCUUUGCUUUAGGUAUUUGUGAUUUUUUCAUUGUGCUUUCUGAUUUGUUUGACUGAUCUGUCAUAGCCUUCUCAAUCAUGAUUUCGCGAUUCUUCGAUAUGAUCUGAAUAAUGUGAAAAAUAGUUCUACGCUUGGAAUGCUAGCAAAGUGAGCUACAUUCAAUCUUAGCAGACUCCUCAAGUUUCCAAUAUUUUCAAGAAACUCACCUUUUAGACAUUAGAUUAUUGAUUCAACCAACCUAUGUAAUUUAACAAAUUUUGCAAUUGUCUAAGUUUAGCAAUAUUUCUUCAACAUAUAUGUUGAAGAAUUAUAUAAUUCUGCAUAGGUCCAAGAGAAAGAGAAUUGAACAUUAAGAAACAAGGCAAAGUGCAUUGGAAAAGUGGAAAACUUAGAAGCAAUGGAUUAUUCGAGAACAUUCCAGAGAAUGUCCAACAUGUGUAUCGAUACAUGAUUGUCUCUAACAAAGAUGAAGACUCCUUCAGUUUUGAAAUCAAAGGUUGUAAGUAUUAUAAGUUUCCAGGGUAGAUACUAUUAUAUACUGGAAGGUUAACAAGUAAUGAAGGAUACUAUAAUAAUAGUAAUGGUGGAUGCCAAAAAUGGGAGUAUAUACCAACUUGUACGGAUUAAGGUGAAGUGUUUCAGAAAAUUAAAAGAGUGGUAGUCCCAGUUAGACAAUACUGUCGAGCGUUACUGAAAUCAUUUAGUAACACAGUCUUUACCUAACAUUUGUCAAAUGUUACAAGAUCUAAAUAGUAACAUUUAUUUUUGAUUUAGUUACAAUUUUGAAUUGUUACUAAAUCUCAUAUCUGUUGUAGCGUGGGACUGGUUGUAUAUUAUACAAAACAUUGUUUGUAAUUUGCACGCAAAUUUUAAAUAAAAUAUUGUGGAUGAUAUACACGGGCUAGCGUAAUAAAAAUAGCAAAAAGAAGGGCAACGUGAGUGCCCGUAAUAAUAAUAAUAAUAAUAAUAAUAAUAAUAAUAAUAAUAAUAAUAAUAAUAAUAAUAAUAAUAAGAAUAAUAAUAAUAAUAAUAAGAAUAAUAAUAGAUAGAUAGAUAAAUAGAUAGAGAGAUAGAUAGUGUUGAACCAAAGUGAGUUUUAGAACAAUGUCUCUAAAGUUUUGAUGAUAACAAUGUAUGAAAGAACAAUUGGAUACACAAAUGUGUGUUCAAGUGUGCAGUACCACAAAAUUAAAUUCUAACUCUGAAGUCAACCUGUUGGUUAUGAAACACCAAAAUUUGAAUGCAAAUGAAUGCUUUUGGUAUUCAAGAGAAGCUCUGAAAACUACGACUAUGAUAUGAAGUUGCACGAAGCCUUAUAGAUUCUAAUGGAAAGCAAAUUCUUAUGUAAGUACACUCUAAUGUACAUGUCCUUGGUCAACUGGACACCUCAUGGUCAACUCUAAUGAACUCUGACCAGUUUUGUCUUUUUUUGGAGAGACGUCACUAUCAAGUUAUGAAGCAUUGUUUAUCUUCUUAUGACCACGUGUACAAAAUAUUGAAAGACAAGGAGGAUGCAACAAAUCAUUCAAAAAGAAGCAAAAGAACACAUCAAGUACGAUUCAAUGAAAUAAUCCAUUAGAGGCAAAGCUUUCAAACCUGAUCAAAGUUUCUAAAGGAAGAGUUAAUGCACAGGCACUUCUUCAAACAACGAAUCUAUUCUCUUCUUCUGUUUAAGGAACUUGAGCAUUUGAAGAACGUAAGAGACUUCACAAAAUUAAGUGUCAAAAGUCUAUUGAAUUUCUUACAAUCUUGCAAUCUUGUAAUUUCUUAAGUAUCAAAAGUCUAUUGAGUUUUAAGUUAGUUUACCACUUUGAGUAUCAAAGUGUAAACACAAUAAUUUUUUUUUUUUGUCUAAACUUUGAUCGUAGAAGUCCUCAAGUGUGAGGCAAGUUUUUUUUAGACAUGUGUAUGUAAGUAAUUGUAACCUUGUGUGAUAUAUUAUAGUGGAAAAUCUUUUGGAAAUGCAAGGGGACUGAACUAAUUAACCUCGAAUUAUGGGUAAUUGCUUGAGUUGUUCUCUUCUCUCUUUAUCUUUCUAUACUUUGUUUUGUUUUCAAACUUUACUUCCCUUUUUGUUUUUCUCACCUUUAGAUAGAUUAAGAUCCGAAAAAGUGUAUACCCAUUUUAUUUGAUUGCUAGGAAGAAGAAAAAAAUACUCACCAAGACAUGAGAAGGGUGGUUUCAGUUUGAAAUCUUACAAUGCAUUGCACAUCUUUGAACAACAAGAUAAGUAAUUAUUUGGCUCUCAUCAGAUUUCAUGUCCCACCAAUUCAAUCAGAGAAGCGUAAUCUUUAUUUUCCACUACAAAAUGUUCCACAAGAGUACCUUUCUCCAACACUUCUUUUUAAAAGAAAAGAAAAAUAGAUCAGUGUACUUUAGCACAAUCAUUGAAGGAUAAGUAAUGGAAAGUUGAUAACAUCACUGUUGUCUGUUUAUUCUAUUGACAUAUUUAGAACUUAAUCUACUAACAAUAUGAUAAGAUACUGUAUUUUUUUCUUUCUAUUUUGAAUAUGCUUUAUUCUAGAAAAGAAUACGUCUUUCAUUUUUGUAAUACUUUUUUGAAUAGUAAAAAUAGUAAUAAAAGGUUGAAUUAUUUUUACUUAUAUGUAUUCAUUUCCUAAUUUGAAUCAUCUAAAUAGAGUUGGAACAAAAAAACCAGAACCGUAGACACUGUGAACAAUGUUUUUAGGGUAAUUAUUAUCUUUACAUAUUAAAGUAAACUGAUCUUUACCUUUAACUUUAAAAAAAGUUAUGAAGAAAGGUCUAGUGCAACAUUUUGCACUGGAAAAAUAAAGAUAAAGUUGAUUUAAGUAAGAGUUGGGAAGUGCAGAUCUUUUUCUUUUCCUUUUUCAAUCCAAAGUUGGGCAGUGCAUAUAGUAAGAGUUUAAAUUAUUCUCCUUCGGGUUCGAUCAGUAUAUUUCUCUUCUUUUUGAAACAAUAUUCAUCGAUCAUGAUAAGCUUUAAGAUAAAGAAACAAGUUGUAUUGAUAUACUUAUGGUUGUGGUGGAUUACUUCUACUAACAUUUGUGUCAUGCAGUUCUUUUAUUUUCUCUGUUUGCUGCACUUAAGGUGUUUUUCCUUUCCAUUCCAAUCGUAAUAUAGUACGGCCGCAACUGUUCUUUUUGUUCAAAGUGUUCGUCGAUUUACAGGUUUUGUCCCUUUAUUUACUUUUUAAUAUGAAUUCAUCUAAGAUAAAUUUAGAGUAUUAUUUCAAUAUGUGUAGUUUAAUUGAGUCCACAACGAGAGGACAGUCGUCCCGACAUAACUCAUAUAAAAUCAAUGUUCUGAAAAUUCUGUUUUAAUUUAAAGCUUUACUACGAAAGUAGAAACAUAGAAAUAUCGCUUACGCGUAGAAAGAGCGGCAACGGUAUUGGACUUAGAAAAUUCAGAUUUUUAAUCAAGUUAGUAGUUAUAACACUUUUCUAAUUAAUUAAGAACUUACUGAAUUAGAAAAGGGAAUUUUAGACAUGUAGUUAAGCACUACGAAAGUAGGAAAUUAUGCGUCUAAAAUCCGACAACGGAUUGCGAAAGCAAACGAUGUCUCUAAUUAGGUAUUUUUCUAGAAAAAUAUUAUAUUCUCGUCAUAGCUAAGCACCAUAAUUUGUAUGAGUAACUUAGGUAAACGAAAAUCAUUGUUUUGGCCUAUCGUUGUUAUUAUUAAAUUAAAUUCUGUAUUUUAUUUUUAACGCGAAACAAAUUGUUUUGAAUUAGCCUUUGAUAAACAAAGAAACGACAAGCCUUUAUACUUAAACCAAUAUAGCCGUACACUUGCGGCGUAUCGUUUGUUACGUUCAAAUUUAUUUUUCUUUUCCAGUUUUCCUUUUUUAUGAAGUUAUCAAAGCAUACAAGUAGUUUUGUAUAGGUUUUGAAAGGUACUCUUACUUUCGGUAACAAUAUUAUUUUUGGUAUAAUUAGCCCCAUCUGUAGAAUGAUUUUAGCAUCAUUAUAUGCAGACUAAUUAGCAUCACCCUGGAGUGGUAAACAUCAAGGCAGCAAGUGGAGAAGAGAAGCAUUUGAGUCACUAUUUUAAUAUUUAGUAACAUUUUUGCUAACAAAAUUAGCUAAAACUGUAUUUAAAAUUGUUUACUAGAGAAUGGCUAUGAUUGAGCUACUAAACGGUAACAUUUUUUUUUUGCAUGUUAGUAAUACUACUCUUAUGGUUACUUAAACCAUUUAGUAACAUGGACUUUACCCAGCAUUUAUCAAAUGCUAUUAGAUCAAAUUAAGUAACAUUUGUUUUUGAUUUAGUAAUCUUUUUCAAAUGUUACUAGAUCUAAUAUAUGUUGUACUUUAACUUGGAGUGAGAUUUAAUAUAUUAAGAUAUGAAAAAAGUUUAUACACCCGUUUAAUUUGAUUGCUAAAAGAAAUGCUCACUAAGACAUCAGAAGGAUGGUUUCAGUUUCAAAUCUUACAAUGCAUUUAUAUUUUUUAAUAGUAAAUAUAGUUAUAAAAGGUUGAAUUAUUUUGUGGGUAACUAUACUUUUUGCAAUUAGGCCUUUGCUUCAAUUGAACCGCAAGAGUGCAAAUUUCUUUAGCUACUGAAUCUUUAAAUUAAAUUUUGAAUAUACUUUUAUCUAGAAAAGAAUGCAUAUUCUCUCAUUUUUGCAACACUUUUGAAUAAUAAAGAUAAGAGGGACAACAAGGUUAAUAUACUAACCAAGCCUCUACCUGGGAAGAGCAAGAGAAACUAAGGACGUCACUUUCCCUCGUUCUUUUCUUCUUUAAUAAAAAAGCACCGUAAGGGCUUAACACUUAUCUGGCAUGCAACAUUGUGGAAGAUUUGGGAAGCGCGGAAUGAAGUUAUUUUCUCCUCAAAGAUUGCAGGGAUGGAUGAAAUUGUAGAAGGGAUCAAAGUAACAUCUUAGAAAUGUUUAAUGCAAAAAAAAAAAAAAAAAAACGCGGGGGAGGGGGGAAACAUGUUUGUAUAAUGAAUGAUACUCAAACCCUUUUAUUUGUUUAAAUACUUAAAUUAGAGGUUGGUUUUUUUACUGGGCAAGCACCUCUUAUAUUGUUCCUGAGUUAUGGGUUAAUUAAGUACUCUUUCUACUUCUCUCCUUUCUAAUAAAUUUUGUUGUUAAAAAAAAAAAAAAAACUAAAAUAAACUUUAGUCAGGUCCCUUGUGAACAGGGACGUUAUUAUCUAUACAUUACUUAUCCUUCAAUUAUUAUUGUAUUAAAGUAAACUUAUUUUAAAAAAAGUAGUAGAGAAACAUUUAGUAGUGGAAAAAUAAAGAUAAAGUUGAUUUGACAUUAACUUUGUGAACUACAAGAAACUCUGAUAAGUGUCUAAAAUCAGUUGUAUCAAAUUUCCAACCCAAAGUUGGGCAGUGCAGAUUGCAAGAAACAAGUUGGUGAGUAUUUCUCUUCUUUUUGAAACAAUAUUCAUCAAUGAUGAUAAGCUUUGAAAUAAAGAAACAAGUUGUAUUGAUAUACCUAUGGUUGUGGUGGAACACUACUGCUAAUAUUUGUGUUGAAGCAACAAGUGAUAGUUUGAAGCCAGGUGAUAAAUUUGAUGCAAAUUCCACGCUAUAUUCAAAACAAGGCAAGUUUGCUCUAUUUUUCGAUCAAACAUUAGCUAGCGAAGAUGCUCACUUGGUUAUAAGUGUUAAUGCAGAUUAUGGCAUUCAGGUGUGGAUGUAUGAUAGAAAUCAUUCCAUUGACUUAGAUUCAGCAGUUCUAUCACUAGACUACUCUGGUGUGCUCAAAAUAGAAUCACAAAAUAGGAAACCAAUAAUCAUUUACUCUUCACCUCAACCAAUAAACAACACUUUGGCCACUAUAUUAGACACAGGUAACUUUGUGCUUCAACAAUUUCAUCCCAAUGGGUCAAAGACUGUUUUGUGGCAGAGUUUUGAUUAUCCAUCAGACGUUUUGAUCCCAACGAUGAAGUUAGGCGUUAAUCGAAAAACAGGAUAUAAUUGGUCAUUGGUGUCCUGGUUGACUCCUUCGCGGACAACUUCAGGUGAAUUUAGUCUUGAGUGGGAACCAAAACAAGGUGAACUGAACAUCAAGAAAAGCGGCAAAGUGUAUUGGAAAAGCGGAAAACUUAAAAGCAAUGGAUUAUUCGAGAAUAUUCCGGCCAAUGUUCAAAAUAUGUAUCGGUACAUCAUUGUCUCUAACAAGGAUGAAGAUUCCUUUAGUUUUGAAAUUAAAGAUCGGAAUUAUAAGAAUAUUUCAGGGUGGACACUAGACUGGGCGGGGAUGCUAACGAGUGAUGAAGGGACUUAUAUUGGAAAUGCAGAUAUAUGUUAUGGAUAUAAUAGUGAUCGAGGGUGCCAAAAAUGGGAGGAUAUACCAGCUUGCAGGGAACCUGGUGAGGUGUUUCAAAGAAAGACUGGAAGACCAAACAUAGACAAUGCAUCAACCAUUGAACAGGAUGUGACUUAUGUUUACAGUGAUUGCAAGAUAAGAUGUUGGAGAAAUUGUAAUUGCAAUGGAUUCCAAGAAUUUUAUCGCAAUGGGACUGGAUGUAUAUUCUAUUCAUGGAAUUCGACACAAGAUCUUGAUUUGGUGAGUCAGGAUAACUUUUACGCCUUGGUAAACUCUACAAAAUCAACCCGAAAUUCCCAUGGUACGUAAGUCUAUAAUAUCAUUUUAAUAAGAUGGGUUCGGAGUGAUUAUUUAGAAAUUGGAUUCCCAACAGUCACCUUAGUUCACGCAUUCAGGACAUUGGUGACUAUGUGAUCUUAAUCAAACAGUUCAAAAAAUGUAUAUUUUAUUUAAAUUUUAUAAUUUAAAAUACUGAGAUUAAAUUUGAACCGUCUGAUCAUGAUCAAACUGUCACUGAUAUUGAAUGCGUGAACAACUAACGGCAAUGGAGCAUUCCAGUUAUUUAUGAAAUAUUUAAAAUUAUCUUAUAAUAUAAUCACUUAUAUAAGCGAACAUUGUCUCCAAGGGGAAAAAGAGAACUCUUCAUCAUACACUAGAGUUAUCAAACAGACUUUGAGGUAUUAAAUUUAAUACUACCUUAUCAAGUAUAGUAAGCUAUUUUAAUUUUGCAAACAAGCUCAAAGAUUAUAGUAGCAAGUUACAUCAAGUUAAGACCAAAAACUAAAGGUUUGAGAUGAAUAUGCUUAUAUCACAUUUCAUAUUGAUUGUGUAUAGCAAAUGCAGGUAAAAAAAAGUGGAUAUGGAUAGGUGUUGCAAUCGGAACUGCUUUACUCAUAUUAUGCCCACUCAUUAUAUGGCUAGCCAAAAAGAAACAAAAAUAUUCACUUCAAGGUAUCUGGAUAUUUAAAAUAGUCUUGUAAGUAGGACUAAAUCCAAUCCCUUUAUUUUCCAUCUUUACCUUCAUUUUUUUUGCUUAUGUAGAUAGGAAAAGUAAAAGACAUAAGGGUCAGAGCAAAGGUUUGGCGGAUUCUAAUGAAUCUUAUGAUAUCAAAGAUCUUGAAGACGAUUUUAAGGGACAUGAUAUAAAAGUUUUUAACUUUAUAUCAAUUUUGGAAGCAACUAUGGACUUUUCCCCUGAAAACAAGUUAGGACAGGGAGGCUAUGGACCUGUUUAUAAGGUGACUUUAAAGUUAAAUUGCAAACAAAUGUUUUUAAUGUGGUAAUAUUGUUUUUGAUUGUUGGUGGCUAUUGUUUUGCACAAAACCUAUAUGCAUUUUUUUAUUAGGUAUUCUUUGUCCUAUUCUUAAUUUUAGUAUCCAUGAUUUCUUUAAAUUCAUAACUUCCCAAAAGUUUGUUAUUAUAAAUAACUACACAAAGUGUAUUACGUUAAGAACCAUAUUUAAAGUAUUUAAGGAAAUGCACUUAAAUUUUGUUCUUUUGUUUUACGACUUCAGGGAAUGUUGGCAACAGGGCAAGAAGUUGCUGUAAAAAGGCUUUCAAAAACAUCUGUACAAGGAAUUGUGGAAUUUAAAAAUGAAUUGGUACUUAUAUGUGAACUUCAGCACACAAAUCUUGUACAACUACUUGGUUGUUGCAUUCAUGAGGAAGAAAGGAUUCUAAUUUACGAAUAUAUGCCAAACAAAAGCCUGGAUUUCUAUCUAUUUGGUAAGAAUAUGUCGAAGUCUAUGUUUUCAUGUUUAUUUUUUUUCAAUGGAAAAUAUAUAUUAUAUGAAUAAAAAGAAUAGAAUUCCUGCACGAGUACAACCAUAUUGAAAUUAGAGUACAAGAAGUACUCAAGUACGCAGGUGAACAAGAGCAAGACUAGGUAUAGAACCCCUUAGUUAGCCAGCCCCAAGACAAAUCCGCCACAAUUCACUAUCGCGGUGCGAAGACAUAAUGGGUUCAUGAUCCCACUCUUAGAAGGAACAGGUGUAAGCAGAACGUUAUCCUAAAACAACUUUCAAGAGGUAAAUUUAAUCAUAUCCACCAAUUGAAGCACAUACGUUUCCCUCCCCGAAAAUAUGUGAGCAUUUUGGGAUCUCCACAACGACCACACAACAGUUUGCUUGAUUAAUAAGAAACCAACCCUCUCCUUUUCCCCCCACCUAGUUCAAACAUAAAACUAAGAAGACUCACUAAAUCUGAAGGUAAAACAAACUCCCACCCCAAACCUCUCCUUUUUCAUGAGAUGUUUUUUUAGGUCAAAUUCAUAUAAUUGUGAUCAUUAUUAUGUAUUGUUUAGAGCAUAAUUACAACAAAACUUUUAGCUUUUAUAACUAAAUAUUUUCUGUAAUUGUUGUGGAUAGUUCGCUAAAAUAACGUCUUAUCCUAACUUGAAAAUAACCAAGUAAAUAUCAUUAUUUAAGAAAACUAAAAUAUCAUAUUGGUUUGCUACAUUUGAGUACUAUACAUUGUAAUAUUAAUUAGUAUGUUUUCAUUGUGAAGAUUGUACAAAAAAGAAGCUGCUAGAUUGGAAGAAGCGUUUCAACAUAAUAGAAGGAAUUGCUCAAGGAUUGCUCUAUCUUCAUAAGUACUCAAGACUCAAAAUCAUUCACAGAGACUUGAAAGCUAGCAACAUACUUCUUGAUGAGAAUAUGAAUCCAAAAAUUGCUGAUUUUGGUAUGGCAAGAAUGUUUACACAGCAGGAGUCCGUAGUAAAUACCAACAGAAUUGUUGGGACAUAGUGAGUUUUCUAAACUUUAUUUGUAUCAAAUAUUUUGUUAAUGAUUUUGUGAAAACUUUAUUUAUUUUUCGAGUUAUGAAUUUUGUGUGUAGUGGAUACAUGUCUCCAGAAUAUGCCAUGGAAGGAGUUUGUUCUACAAAGUCUGACGUCUAUAGCUUUGGAGUGUUGCUACUUGAAAUCGUUUGCGGAAUAAAAAACAAUAGCUUCUAUGAUGUUGAUCGUCCACUAAAUCUAAUAGGACAUGUAUGUCAAUUCUUUCCAUUGAGUUCUUUGUAAUAAAUAUUAUUUUGUUGCUUCUAACUUGAUUAAAUUAUUAAUAGGCAUGGGAGCUAUGGAAUGAUGGUGAGUAUCUAAAGCUAAUGGAUCCAACAUUAAAUGACACAUUUGUUCCUGAUGAAGUGAAAAGGUGCAUUCAUGUUGGUCUCUUAUGUGUAGAACAAUAUGCUAAUGAUCGACCUACAAUGUCUGAAGUUAUAUCAGUGUUGACAAACAAAUAUGUACUCACAAACUUGCCAAGAAAACCAGCAUUCUAUGUUAGAAGAGAGAUCUUUGAGGGGGAAACAACUUCUAAAGGGCAAGACACCGACACCUAUUCUACGACAACAAUUUCUACCUCAUUUGAAGUAGAAGGGAAAAUAUAAGUAAUAAAAAUCGCUUGAAUAUGGUUUUUGUUUAUGAAAUAUAUUCAUUUCAUGUAUCUGUAAAAGUAUACUCGCAAUGUUCCUUUUAAUAUGUACUUUUUCAUGGUAGUUCUCGUUACUCUAUUGCGGAAACCGUCCACUUUUGGACUGACAAAUGGGUAUCUAGAACCAUAUAUAGUUGAUCACUAGAGCAUCCCAGUUCAUAUGCAAUCAUCUUUGACCAUGAAAGUUUCAGACUAUUUGUGGGAAGGUCGUUGGAAGAUUCCUGAUUACUUUCUGCAGAAAGAUGACAGUCUCCACAAUCAAAUUGUUAACAUGGAGCUUCCUUUGAUCCCUGCCUCUGAUAAGCUAAACUGGACAGCUUCAACUGGUGGCAAUCUGACGAACAUGCGAGCUUAUUUACAUCUUAAAGGCAACUUUCCUAAGCUUUCUUGGUGUAAAAUAAUAUGGAAAAAAUGUAUUCCCCUUUCCAGGUCCUUUAUAAUCUGGAUAUGAGCUCAUCAUAGGCUACCUACUUACGAAAAUCUCCAAAAAAGAGGGUGCAUCUUAGCUUCGGUUUGCAGUUUUUGCAUGAAUCAAUCUAAGACAUCUUCUCACCUUUUCCUGAACGGUCCUAUGUCGUUGAAAAACUGGAGUUGGCUUCCUCCGUCGGACAUCCAUUCACUAAAAUUGACAUACUACCCCCAAAUACACAAGCCUUAAUCCAAGACACCCAACCCUCUUCAUCAUAUAUUAUAAGAAACCCCAAUCCACCGAAUCAUAUCCUUUUCAAAAUCAACCUUGAAAAUCAAACAUUCUUUUCUCAUCUUUUUCGCCAAUUCCACUACCUCGUUAAUUAUCAUCACAUCAUCUACUAAUUUCUAGCUUUCGAAAAGGCCGAUCGGGAGUUUGAGAUAACAAAAUUCAUAACUCCAGAUACUCGACAACACUUUUGAAAGCAAUUUAUACAAGCUCCCUGACAAGGAAAAUGGACGAAAAUCUUUUAAAGCAAAAGGGGAUUCUUACCUUUGCUUUAUGAAAGGAGACAUUUCGGAAGUCUAGCAUUACCAUGAAAUUAGUCAAACAAUAUAUGAAUCUCAUGCUUCAAAAGAUGCCAAAAUUCCUUGAAGAACAAAAAAUUGAAACCAUCCAUCCCCGGACUCUCAUUACCAUCACUAUUUUUCACCACUGCUUCAAUUUCCUCCAAAAGAAAAAGGCUCUAUCAAUCUCACAUUCUCCUCGUAUGAAAGAGAAACAAAUAGGACACUAUCCAACUUCGGUCUCUCCCACGGAGUAGUCGAAACAUGCUCUUUAAAGUACUCCACCACCACUCUCCUCACCUCUCUUGGCUCUUGAAUCCACUCGCCGCCCACCUUUAAGGUCUUAAUACCAUUUCUAUUAGUCCUUGGCUAUGAUUGAGCUACUAAUUAUGGGUAACAUUUUUUGCAUGUUACUAAUACUAUUCUCAAAGGUUACUAAAACCAUUUAGUAACACGGGCUUUACCUAACAUUUAUCAAAGGUUACUAGAUCAAUUUAAAUAACAUUUUGUUUGGCUUAUUUAUACCUCUAAUCCCUGUAAAUAGCGCUCAAUUGAAGUUUGGUAGUCCCUGAACUUACUAAUCUCUUCGAACAACCACUGCAAUUACUAAUCAUUUACAAUUUGGUCCCUCAACCAAGUUAAUGACUGUCAGUACGUGAAUGGACCAAAGUGCCCAUGAGGAUCUCAGACAUAUGCGUAAUGACCGUUUUACCCCUUAGUUCAUCUUCUCCCUCUUCAUCUUCAAAACCCAUCACAAGAAUAAUCUAGAUUAUUCAACAAUUAAACUGUUCAAAAUUUGUUUGAACAAGUCAACAUAAAUUCAGAAAGGAAAAACAAUUGUUACAAUUAACGAUGUGUAUGAGUCAUCUAUAAGCAAUCAAAGAAAGCAAAGAAUCUAUGAUUUAGAAUAAAUCAGAUUGGAAAAUAAAAGAUUUAAAAGCAUAGAGUGAAGACUAGCAAAACACUGUUACAAUAACAGGUAAGUAAUUUUCAAUUCCCUUAAUUCCAUUUUCAAUCUCUUUAUCGUUUUCACAAUUCCAUUAACAAUCCAUUUUCAAUUUUUCAUUCCUUGAUUUUGCAGAAUGCAUUGCACGAAUGUUAAACCUAAACCAACCAAUAAUAGAAACAACAACAACAACGAACAAAGAAGCAUACAAGAUCCUAAUCUACGACAAAUUCUGUCAAACAUUCUAUCACUGUUAAUUCACGUCAAAGAUUUUUGCAAACAUGGUGUCACUCUCUAUUUCCUCAUCGACAAAGAUCGCAAACCUGUUCACGAUGUUCCAGCCGUUUAUUUUGUUCUUGCAGUCAUUGUUUCAAAAGAUUAGGAAGUUCAAGGACCAAACAUCAAACGAGCUCUAUUUGUAACCUUUUUUUUUUAAGAAGAAAAUAUGCUUAUAGCAUUUCAUUAAUAAUAAUAAUAGAUUCAAUACAUUGUGGGAUUGCAUAAUAAAUUGUGGGACUAGCUAAGGAAAUGACUUCUCUUGCUAAGGCAUGAGCUGCCAUAUUCGCUUGUCGCCUAAUAAACUCAACCCUAGAGUUUGUGAAGGAAUGGAAAAAUUGCUCUCAACACUCAUCAAUAAGAUUGCCAAAUUCUGUGCAAAACAAAUUAUUACGACCUCUUUUUUAAAAAACAGUUUAUUCAAAACAACUUAUUUAUGCAAAACAGCUUAUUACGACCUCUUUUCAUAAAACAACUUAUUCCAAACAACUUAUUUAUACAAAACAGCUUACUACGACCUCUUUUUAAAAAACAACUUAUUCCAAACAACUUAUUUAUCCAAAACUGCUUAUUACGACCUCAUUUUCAAAACAACUUAUUUAUACAAAACAAAUUAUUACGACCUCAUUUUCAAAAACAGCUUAUUCAAAACAACUUAUUUAUGCAAUACAGCUUAUUACAACCUCUUUUCAAAAAACAACUUAUUCAAAAUAGCUUAUUGAUGCCAAACAACUUAUUACGACCGCUUUUUCAAAAAUAGCUUAUGCAAAACAGCUUAUUAAUGCAAAACAGCUCAUUAAGAUGUCUUUUUCAAAAACAACUUAUUCAAAACAACUUAUUUAUGCAAAACAACUUAUUACGACCUCUUUUUUAAAAAUAGCUUAUUUAAAACAGCUUAUUUAUACAAAACAGCUUAUUAAGACCUCUUUUCAAAAACAAUUCAUUUAUACAAAACAACUUAUUACGAUCUGUUUUUCAAUUAUCCAAAACAGCUUAUUAAGGUCUCUUAUCAAAAACAGCUUAUUUAUACAAAACAAUUUAUUACGAUCUCUUUUUCAAAAACAACUUAUUCAAAACAACUUAUUUAUAAAAAACAACUUACUACGACAUCAUUUUCAAAAACAGCUUAUUUAUGCAAAACAGCUUAUUACGACCUCAUUUUCAAAAAGAACUUAUUCAAAACAACUUAUUACGAUCUCUUUUCGAAAAACAGCUUAUUGAUGCAAAACAGGUUAUUACGACCUCUUUUUUGAAAACAACUUAUUUAUGAAGAAAAAAAAGCAACUUAUUACGAUCUCAUUUUCAAAAACAACUUCUCUAUAAAAGAUAUCGUAAUAAUUUAUUUUUCAUGAGAUAAACUGUUUUUUAAAAAGAGACCGUAAUAAGUUGUUUUGUAUAAAUAAGUUGUUUUUUAUAAAGUGAUUGUAAUAAGUUUUUUUUAUUCUAUAAAUAAUUUGUUUUUCAUGAGAUAAGCUCUUUUGAAUAAAUUAGAAGAUAAAUUACAAAGUAUAAUACAAUGUAUUAAUUUAAGAGAAAAAAAGGGUAAAAUAAUAAAAUUAUAACAUAAGUCUUUCAUCUCCUUUCCUUGUUGGUGUUUUAAUUAACUCCCAAACAAGGGGAAGGUUUUUCCUCAUUUCUCCCUUCCCUCUCUUUCCUUCCCUUCCCCUCCUUAGCCUUUCCUUUCCUUCCCCUUAAGACUCGAAAACAAAGCCUUAGCUACUUAAUCUUUUAAAUUUUGAAUAUGAUUUUAUCUAGAAAAAAUGCAUUUUAUCUCUUCUUUGACAAGCUAUGUUUCUCUCUCUUCCUUUUUUCAAACCCUAACUGUCACAAUUUUUCUUCUUUUUGAUCUACCAAAUAAGGGUGAUUUAAAGUCAAUUUUGACCCAAAAUAACCCCUUCGAAAUGUUUUUCUUUCUCUUUUAGUUAAACAAGUAAUUUUCACAUAUUUUCAGCUUUCUUCCGUUUAUUUUUGUGACUGUAUAAUGUAGCAUAAUUUAAUCACAUAAUUUAUAUCCCGUCUUUUCAUUAUUUAUAUCACAUAAUUUAAUUUCAUUACUACAGUGGGAGGAGGAGCAGCCGGGGGGUUAUGUGGAGGUGGAGAUGUCUGGCAGUGGGAGGAGGAGAUGUUAGUGGAGUGUAGGGCUUUACUUCUUGAUGUUCUCUUGUUUCCGAGUGUUUCAGAUAGAUGGGUUUGGCUUCCUGCUCCGUCAGAUGGAUACACUGUUAGUGGUGCUUAUCAUGUGCUAACCUCUCAGGACCACUCUGGUGCGACUACUGAUGCGGAGUUGGUGUGGCACAAACAGGUUCCCUUGAAGAUCUCAGUUUUUGCAUGGAGACUCUUCCGAGAUCGUUUACCGACGAAGACUAAUUUGAUUGCUCGACGGGUGUUAUCGAAUGACAUGUCCUUAUGUGUCGCUGGUUGCGGUCAUCCGGAAACGGCCCAACAUCUAUUCUUGUUGUGUAAUACUUUUGGUUCGCUUUGGCAUAUGGUGCGUGAUUGGAUUGGUUGCUCGGGGGUGGAUGCUGAUAAUUUAUCUGACCAUUUUCUUCAGUUUACUUAUUUGACAGGUGGUGCUAAGUCCAGACGUUCUUUUAUGCAACUUAUUUAGCUUAUCUGUGCCUGUGUUGUGUGGAAUGAACGAAAUAAUCGUCUGUUUAAUAAUGUAAUAACUCUCAUUCCCCGUUUCUUAGACAAGGUCAAGAUGUUGUCCUUAUCUUGGUUAAAAGCUAAAAAAGCUACUUUUGUGUUCGGUACUCAGCAGUGGUGGUCAUGCCCUCUUGUGUGUUUGGGUAUAGGCUGAUGUAGCUCUGUUGGGUUGGUUGUUUUGUUGUAACUCUUGGUUCCUAUUGUAGUCUCUAUGGCACACCUUAUGCUUUAGGGACUGUAUUGUUAUAUAAUUUCAUUUCGGCUUUUUCAAAAAUAAAAUAAAAUAGAUUCCUGCAUUUUUUUAGAAAUAAAUUCGUAAAUCUUAUGGGUCAAAGAUCACUUAUUGAUCUACAAUAGACAUGUGUUGUUCAAUUUGGACAUAAAAUUAUCUCUAUAAUAAUAAUCAAUAUAUAAAUAAAAGAAUCAAUCAAAUAUAAACAAGAGAGAUUAAUAAACUUUUCUCUUUUGAGAUUGUUGUUGAAUUAGAACACCGACCACGACUUUAUCAACAUCUUUGACAAUCAAAUCAAAUAGAAUCAACAACUACAAAACGAACAAACCAUGAAUAGUCUGAGACGUGCUGAUCGCACUAUCCUUCAUGAUUUUUCACGUAAUUAUACGCUAACCCCCCAAGAUUUAACAGACCCAUCUCGGUUAGAAUCGAGGAUACAAAACUGACAAGAAGAAUUUUUUCAGAAAGAUGAUAAAACCCAAAGUUGUUGACUGCACAAAAAUUAAUAUAUGGGGCUUUGUAAUUUUGAUAGGAAAGAAUAGUUGUUUUUCGUUUCUAUUGAUCAAGGGCUAGCUAGAAGAAAAGAGCUUAACUCCACUUCUACUGUUUUUUCACGUCAAAAAGGUUUUUUACAUUGAUGACAAGUAAAAAAUUGACUUUGUCAUGCCAAAUAUAAAGCCUUAAUAAUUGCUUUCAAGUUGUGAACGUUUGGAAUAAAAUGUAACUGCCUUUGACUCAGUAAACAAAGUUAAAUGAGCAUAAAUAAAUGGUUAAUUGCAUUAACUUUUGAAAUAUAUCAUAUAAAAAACAACAACAAAACCCGUGUGUCGCAUGGAUCGAAAGUUUAGUAUAUAAAUAAAAUGUAGUCCGGUGGUGCCAUUUGAAACCCUAACCCACAAAAAACGAUCCCCUUAUUCAUCUUAUCUUAAUCUUAAUCAUCAUAAAAACAUAAUAAUUAAACGACUACAUGUACAAUUAUGAUUCUGCAGCCCCACUUUUCUUUUGCACAUGCUUCAUGAAAAAUUACAAUAAUUGCUAAAUCCUAAUUGGAGCACAAAGAAAUUACAUUUAUUGCACUCAAUCAUUCCUUAGACAAAAAGUAGUCACCUAGGCUGUCGUUUUUUUAUGAGUGGUGAUACAUGUACAUCUCCAUGUGGUAAUGCACCUCAUACACCCACACAAAAUCCUGACAUGUGGCAAGGAAAAGGGAGAGGAGAUGAAAGAGAAAGUAUAGUUGUGAGAUGAAUUUAUCAAAACAUUCUUAAUGCAUGAAAGAGAAAGUAUAAUAGGGUGUAUGAUUAAAGGGUGUUCAUGUAACAUUUUCCUUUUUUUAUUGUGAUUUUUAUGACAGGAUUUUGGCGGGGUAUGUGUUUACAAGUUAUGACCACUACAAGAAAACAUUUGAAUUCCAAGGCACAUAACUUCCAGGAAAACAUCUAUUUCUUCUCAGAAUGUCACUUUUUUCCGAGGAAAAGUGGGCCUCGAAAAAUCGUUGGUUGCGAAUAAGACACGGAUAUUUUAUCCUUCCCUCCCUUUCAUAAAUGUUGUGUGACAUGGCGAAAACAACAAAUCCAUGAAUUCCUUCCUCAAAUUGUAGUUUUAAGUUUGAUUCUCCCCGUAAAUGUUCUAUCGUACAUCCAACUUCGGUAGUAAUAAUAUUGAUCCAUCUUCUGCGUUGUUGACAUUUGGCUAAAUUCUUAAAAAAAAAACUAUUUAUGCAUUUCUUAAAAAAAAAAAACUAAUAUUUAUGCAUAUUAUAUUUUUUUUAUACCAAUAUCCAUGCAUAUUUAAUCAAUAAAGUUAUAUAUAAAUAAAUAUAUAAUUAACAAGACAUAUGUAAUAAUAUUAAAUUGAUUUAAUAAACUAACCUGAUCAAGUUGUAAUCCGAGGAAAAAUAUCCAGUAAAAUCAACUGCGACAACAACCGCAAUAGACAUGCCUAACUACAAAAAAUACUAACAAAUUUGUUAUUUAAGCAGUAAAUAAAAAAAAUUAAGCAUCAACAAGAAAUUGAUAAUGAGAUUAAAAAUAACUAUGAUCAAAAGUAUAUAAAUAAUUAAUGUCUAUGAGAUUAUAGAUAAAUUGAUAAAUUAACGUUGUAAAAAAAACUAAAUCAACAAUAUUUAUAAAAUCAAAAUACAUUUGAAAAACUUACCAGUAAACCAAUAACAAUGAUCUAAUGCUAAAUUUCAAUAGAUUUAAGUGACAAUGUUUUUAUCUUUUUGAUGAAAAUGGUGAGUGAUUUUUUCUUUUUGAUCGAAAUUUGGUGAAAAUGGUGACAUAUUGACGAAAAAAUCGUAGUGUUGAAAUGGAAAAAUGUUAGUAUUCUGGACAGAUUUGUAUAUACUACCGGAGGUAGGUAAAAAUAAUUAAUUUUUUACAACUGUCACAUAUGCUUUCCUAGGAAAAAGACUCUGUAUUCUAUGCCAAUACCGACAACGCGGUUUCAGCAGAGGAUAAAAUGAUAACAUGUUUUCCGAGAAAACUUUUCCUCGGUAGUUCCUCGAUAUUACAUCUGGAAAAGCGUGCCAGUGUAGUAGUGAUUCUGACAUGUACAUUUCGAGGAAGUUUUUCCUCAGAAAAACCUUUAUUUAGCGAGUAAAUAUGCGUCCUCGGAAAUAUUUGGUCGGAAUUUCCAUGUUUUCUUGUAGUGGACAAAGGAUUUUGGAAGGUAUGUUUUUACAAGUAAUGUUUAUAUAACUAAUGUUAUAUAGUAUCCCCUCCCAUUUUUUAUGUAGUGAUGAGAUCAAGAGUUCCGUAAGCAUGUGGAAGGAAACUUAUAAAAAAAUGCCUUAAAUAACUGAUGGCAUUAAUUAUUUGGUUAGCUUAUGGUUCUUUAUUCUUAUUCCUAUUGGUUCAAAAAAAUAUUGAGCUUGAUUGAUAAGUUAAUUUUUGAAUUGCAUGAGAUUGACAUUGAUUAAUAAGUCUAUGCAAUUUAGGUUCUUAACAUUUGAGUUGACUGAAAUUCAUUGGUCAAUUUCUCAACAUCACAAGGAAGAAUAGCAUAUUUACUGAUUCAUGUUUUUAGCACACAAGCCAAUAAGGUGAUAACUAAUUCAAUCGGUUUUGGAAUGCAUUUGGCUAUUGCAAGGAGCUCAUAUAAUUCUCUUGGAAUUUUAUUGGAGUAGGUCAAAGAAAUAUUUUUAAGACCAUUCAAAUCAAAUGAAGACCUCACGCUACAAAUGAAGAGAGCAUUCAUGAUCCAUCCAAAUUACUUACUAGAAGCAUCAAUUCAUCAAUAUUUUUAAGAUAAUUCAGCUCAUGCAGUCAGUUCCUUUUACAGCCGUUACAAGUCUGCAUUUGAUUCCAUACCUUGCAUUUUAUAAGGUUCUUUGAGUGACUUGAUUUAGAGCUAUAUAAAUGCACUCAUUUUGUACCAAAAAAAUAAAAAUAAAAAUAAAAAAUAAAAAAUAAAUGCACUCAUUUUAUGAAUUAAGCCAGCUUGAAUUUUGAUAAAAACUACAAUGUGUGUAUUUUGAGUUAGAGUUUUUUCCUCUGAAUUCUUGGAUUAGAACUUCUAUAGUGUUGGUUCUACCGGCAGGUCGUGGUUAGGGUCGCACUUUUGUUUGAUGACUUUGGUUCUACCGACAGGUCAUGGUCAUGGUUAGGGUCAAGUUCCUUUUCUGUUUUCAAGAUGGUCCAUUAUCGGUUACGUAUCAUUUAGUCUUUUUGUAUCUAUGUAAUUAUCAUUUUCCUUACCAAAUAACCAAAUAAUUGAGUUCAAUUAGUUAAUGAACACCACCAAGAACGAAUUACUCAGAAUAUCCCAAAUUCAACUCCUAAAAAAACAAUUUUAGGUCAGACUUUACAAUGGUUUCAACCAAGAUCUUGAAUACCAGGAGCCCUUUUCCAUUAGAACCAAAAGAUUAAUACCAAAAAAAAAAAAUCAUUAACAAAUGUUUGUAAGAGUUAUAUUGUUAAUGUCAAAUUCUAUUUAAUUUAGGAGAAUGCUAACCAUUGCCCUUGGGGCAUUGGAUAAGGGGAUAAAAAUAGAAAUAUAGUAUUGGAAAAUUGUGAAAAGUGAUAAAUUUAACUUUUUAAAAGUCAAAAUAUCGUUGAAAACAAUGCAAACAUGCUACUUUUGAUUUCCUUAACCAAUGGUUAGCAAGACCGUUUUUUUAAUAUCAAUACUCCAAUAUUUAGUAAAAUGUUGAUAAUAAAAAAAAUUUCAAAGUCGAACCACCAUUGUUAUAAAAAAAUCCUAACCCUCCAAAAUAAAUCUCCAUGUUCAUCUUAAAAACAUCAUUAAAGGCUACAAGUGCAGUUAUGAUUAUGCUGCCCCACUUUUUAUUGGCACAUGCUUCAUAAAAAAUUACAUUAAUUGAUAAAUUAUAAUUGGAGUACCAAUAAAUGACAUUUAUUGCUCUCAAUCAUUCCCUACACAAAAGUAGGCAUUUGUGCUAUUGUUUUUGUUGUGAUUUUUAUGGCAAAAUAUUUGGUUGCCCAUGUUUACUAGUAAUGUUUAUAUAACUAAUGUUAUAUAGUAUGCCCUUCCAUUUUAUAUAAAUAUCAUUCUUCUUAAUAAAUGUUUGUUAAAUUUUUAAAAGUUGAAAUUAUUCUCGUUCGGGUUUAGUGAGUAUAUUUCUCUUCUUUUUGAAACAAUUAUCAUCAAUCAUGAUAAGCUAUGAAAUAAAGAAACAAGUUGUAUUGAUAUACUUAUGGUUGUGGUGGAUUACUUCUACUAACAUUUGUGUUAAUGCAACAAAUGAUAGUUUGAAGCCAGGUGAUACAUUGAAUUCCAAUUCCAAGCUACGUUCUAAACAAGACAAGUAUUGUCUUUUAAUCAACAAGGGUGGUUACUUAACUAUAGCAACUGUUAAUCGCACAGGAGUGUGGUUUUAUAAUCGAAAUCAACCCGUAGACGUAAACUCAGCAGUUUUAUCAUUAAACUACACUGGUGUGCUCAAAAUAGAAUCUCAAAAUAGGAAACCAAUAAUCAUUUACUCUUCACCUCAACCCAUAAACAACACUAUGGCAACUAUGCUAGACACCGGUAACUUUGUGCUUCAAAAAUUUCACCCAAAUGGUACAAAGAGUUUAUUAUGGCAGAGUUUUGAUUAUCCCGACGACACUUUGAUCCCAACGAUGAAGUUGGGAGUUAAUCGAAAAACAGGACAUAAUUGGUCAUUGGUU
rnacentral:lncRNA from 1 species